AAGUAUGAAUAUACAGAAAACAGGAAGAAGCAAUAGCUUUAAUAUUCAAACAAGCAUACAAAUCUUGUCUCGUCUUAUGUUUGGAACCUCAGCAUGCUCCAGCUCUCCGGCCUUUCAUGAACCUCUUCCAGUGCCUGGUGACUUCCUCCUGAGUCUCUCUCACACUCUUCUUAAGUGGUUUAUCACCCUGAGUUUCGUUGACCAUGGGUGUGACAUGGGCAGUUUUCGUGGAUACACGACUUGGAAGCGAGUCAAUUUCCUUCAAAACUUCCUCGAUGUGUGAGAUGAGUCUUUCCACCAAGCUACGGCUGAAAUCCUCCCUGACAACCACCCGAAGAACCGCCACAUUUUCAGCAUUAGCAGGCAUUGUAUAGGCCGGAACUAUCCACCCAAACUUUCUCAAACCCUCGGAUAUCUCAAACACGGUGUGUGCGCUGCUGUCCUUCAAAGAAAAGGCUACUAAGGGUACGCCAACAUCCUUGGAGAGAAUUUCAAAGCGCCCUGUUUUCUCUAAUCCUUCUCUUAGCGCUCUAGCAUUCCCCAUGCAAUUUUCCAUAAUGUUCUUGUAACCCUAGUUUACAGGACAAGAAAAGGACAUACCUUGAGACUUGAAAUAAAAGUAAAGGUAAUUUCCUGGACAAAUACAGGCCAAAUUGUACAUUUUAUUGAAUAUAUGAGCAGUCAGAAUCAUUUCAAAUCUAGCAAACACUAGUCAGUUUAAUAUCCAAAAAACAUGAGACAACAAGAAAAUUGAUCCCAUCACAACUGAUCGAUUUUGGUGCAUCAGUUCUCAACCUCAUUUUGUCAAUGUCUACCGGUAACAAACUAACUUUAACUGAUGAACUUUAACAAUAUGCCAUAUGAACACUUACAAAUUAACAGGAUUUCAUAGUACAUGCAAAGUGUCAUAAAAGUAGGAGGAAUGUAUCACAAAGAAACUUGAGAGUUUUUUAUGAUCAACACAACAAAAAGAUGGAAUUACCUCAAAGCCAAGCCGUAUAAACUGAUAAUAUUGAGCAAUUAUUUGACUGGAGCCUGCCAAAUAGGAAUGAUUGUCAAUUACAAAAAUACAACUACAAUGGUCGCAAAAAUAUCAAAUUUACAAGUCAUCUUCCAUUCAAUGGAACAACACAAUGUUCUUGUAACAGAUUACUUGACAGAUGCUCUUGUAAAACGAUAUAGGCCCAUUGGUGUGUCUUAGCUCAAACGAAAAACAGUAAGACCUCUAGAAGGUAGUACAGAAUAGUUUAGGUUGAAAUGCAGAUGGUUUGGGUUUCAUUUUAUGCAAUAUUUAAAAAAUAUAUAUAUAUAUUGAGAAUUUAGAGAUUUUUUUAAAAGCAAAAGACAAAUAGCCUUCAAAGCAAACAAUAAAUUUUUUAAAAAGGCAAGUUUUGAGGCUAAAGUCUAUCAAUUGAUAAACAGUGAGAAUAUAGUUAAUGACAUAAUGACUCUUGAUGACAUUAGUUUUGGCAUCACUUCUUAUGAAUUCUUAAAGCUCUAAUUUGAAUUUUCCAUUGAAAAACUCUUCAAACUUCCAUCCAUUUUUUUCAGUAAGUUAUCCUUAGUAUCUGCCCAAUCCUACAACUGUUAACAACCAAUACAGGGGAAAUGUCAUCAAACUAUUUGAAUUUUCCAUUGAAAAACUCUUCUAACUUCCCAUCCAUUUUUUUCAGUAAGUUAUCCUUAGUAAGUAUCUGCCCAAUCCUACAACUAUAACAACCAAUACAGGGGAAAUGUCAUCAAACUCUAAAGCAGCCACCAAAACAGAACGUAAACUUAACCCCCAAGUCCUAAAUCUUAAAACUUUAACCCUAAAAAGAUUCACUGUCCUCUAUGAUUAGCACAAACAGGAGAAAUAACACCCUAAUGAAAUGCUUGAAAACACAAAAGUUUACAAGAUUAUGGGUAAAUGUACACUAACGAGCUUUUGUUCUGGUUUAGGUAAGAUAUACUUAAAAAGUAUGACUUUAAAGUUUGAUAUAGUUUAAAAUUUAAAGUUUAGCUGUAAGAAUAGCCUUGAAUUGUGUGUUUAAAACUUUAAAAUCAUACUUAAAACUUACUUUCCUUCCUAAACCUUAACAAAUGGCCUUGCCCCCGAGCACGUGCCCCUUACCUUCAAUCAUUUUGUCUGUUCCAGCUUUUUAGCUGGGGAUUAGUGGUUGCGUUUGCAAGGCUAUGUUACCGCAUAAAUGUGAUACCACUCAUAGUGGUGGCAGGUUUGAGCUUUCAUUUUAAUAUUGAGGUGGCUGCAUGAUUUAGGGUGUGUGGAUUCCCACUUCUUUAUGCAUGCAUACACAUCUAAUCUGCAAUAAUUUAUAACUAAAGCAUCUAAAAAGAAUUUAAAAUCAUUGUCUGAUAAACACGAACAAGAAGUUAAAUAAAUUGCGUGUGCUCAACUUAAAACAUAUUUUAGCGUUAUAUAGUCAAAAACCAUAUCUUUAUUAUAAACAUGCCUUUUUGAAAAGAUUACACAAAUAAAAAAGCUUGUGAAAAUCACCAAUUGAUCUGUAUGCCAUGGAAAUUCUAGAAACAAGAUGCAAUAUCUACAUAAGUGCUUCACAUAUUAGAAAAUAAAAUCCGAGUUAUCUAGUAGCAAAAUUAUCCUUUAAACAUACUGUUUAUAUUUAUAAUGAUGAGAAAGCGUAAACUUAUGCACACAGGUAGAUGGAGAAAUGCUUAGUUGAUAUAUGAAAUGAACAUAUGCGCAGACAUGUAUGUGUAUUACCUUUUGAGAAGUUGAGGGUGAAAGUCGGUUGAUCAGAUCCAAGGUAGUUGAUGUGAAAGACAAGUUCAUCCGGCAAGUCAUCUUUGGUCCUCCAGACAACCCAGCCAACACCUGCAUAUACAAGGCCGUACUUGUGACCACUGACAUUAAUGCUCUUCACCAGUGGCAAACGGAAAUCCCAUUCAAGGUCUGGAUAGAGAAAAGGAGCAAUAAAUCCGCCGCUAGCAGCAUCAACAUGAAUGGGGGUGUCCCAACCGGUCUCCUCAUUCUUUUUGGUGAGGAGGUCAUGAAGAAGCUUAACAUCCUCAAAUUCUCCCGUCAAGGUUGAUCCCAGAAUGGCUGCAACACAAAUGGUGUUCUCAUCUACCAACUCAACAGCUUUCACAGGAUUCAUCACAUAAUAUCCCUCUUCCAGUUUCACCUCCUUCAGCUCAACCUCAAAGUACCUCGCAAAUUUCUCCCAGCAUACCUGCAUAAGUCAUGUGAAACAUUAAGCACAACAAUAAAAUCUCAUUGUUACAAAACAACAGCCGUAGUUCAUGCAAGACAUUGCUAACACCACAAAUGCACAAAACCAAAUUUAAUUUAUAAAAAAUUGUGUGCUUGGCAACAAUCUAAAAUUCACCUGCACAUUAGCUCCAGUGACUAUAUUGGGCUUAUCAUAGGGUUUGCCUUGCUCUUUUCUCUUCUGCUGCCACUUCCUUUUAAAAGCCAAGCCAGCAAGCAUUAUUGCCUCUGAUGAACCUACAGUCCCCACGCCCACUGCAGUCUUGUCAUCCGCAACUGGAGUAUUAAAUAGGUGGGCAAUCAUAUUCACACACCGAUUCUGCAGAAUCAGUUAAAACAAUUACUUUAUGGUUAAAAAAAAAGAAAAAGGAAUACGUCCCUAAAUACUCAGGAUAUAAAUCGAUGCUGUUCAAUCAGUAUAAUACGUUGUCCAAUUAUUUGACAAUGCUUAAUAAAAAAACCAGGAAAUGAUUCAGCUGCAAUAUCUUUACACAAAGGGCCAUUGACUCAGAGAUACCUGGAGCUCUGUGGUUACAGGGUAUUCAUCCAUGUCAACAUAGUUUUUAUUAAUCGAAGCCAUGACAAGCUUAUCACACUCGGGCUCCAUCCAAGUGGUCACAAAAGAUGCCAAGUUCAGCCUUGGAUUUCCAUCUAACAUCAGCUCAUCAUUUAUUACCUGAUAGGCUGCCUCCUUUGGCAUUGAAUUAUCUGGCAUCUUGAAUCUACAUCAACAUUCACACCCCAUAAGAUCUAAUUGAAAAUAAAAUAAGUCCUUUUUAAUUUUCACUUUUCUCAUAACUUUCAAGUUUCAGUUUUGGUUUGCAACUUUUGUAAGUUUGAAACUACAAGGGGAAAUAAAUUGCAAGAAUGUAACAAGGCAAUUGUUCAUUAAUGUAAAAAGAACAAAAAAAAAAAAAAAGGUACAAAUUUCUCCUUUUCUCAAGUUCCUUUUUACUUAUAGUAGGUUUGGUGGCAAAAAAUCAAAAUUUACAUCACCCCAGUGAAAUAUUUUAUCAUUUCAUUAAUCUGACUCAAUCAGCAAGUAAAAUGGCAAAUAUGAGUUUACAAAAGAGAAAGGUUAAUAACUAAGAAACCAGUCAAUUGGAGCAAUGGAAUCGAUCACAGUUGCACAUUACAAAUUCAUUCAGCACAUGUGUAGGUCAUACUCUUGAUCUCUUAAAGGAUAGCUAAAAAUUUUAAAAUAUGAAAUAAAUCAGAUCAAGAUCUCUCUUAUUAUUCACUAAUUAAAACGUAUAUAUAGUGUUUACAUCUAAAAGCUACACUGAUGACUGAACCUACUCAUUGUCAAGCCGAAGCUAUAAUCUCAGGGAUCAAGAUCCUCAUGAUCUGAUCUGCUCAGUCCAAGAGGAUCAUCCAAAUUGACUUAGAUAUCUACUAAAGUUCUUCAAGAUCUAUGGGAUAAUUGAAUAAAUUAUAAGUUCUAAUACAAUUUUUUUUUUAAAAAGAAAAAUAUAAAAUUAAUUUUUGAACCAAGGUCAGUACUCAGUAUUAACGUUAAGUUGAGUUUUGACUGGGAGGUUGACUGUUUCCAUUAUUUAUAAAACAAUCUUUAAUGAUCUAACCAAAUUCACAUCUCACCAAACUCUUCCUAGAGCCAUAUAUAUAUAUUAUUCUUUGAAUAAAACAUUUAAAAAGUUAGUAUCCUACAAAUAAAAAGAAUAAUAAUCUGAGAGCUAUAUUUAUUAUUAUCUUUUGACAAAAAAGAAAAAGACACAGAGAGAAGGAAAGCAGAAAAUGAAUAUCCAUUUUAUAUCUGUUAAACAUGCAAAUUAUUAAGAAAUCGGAUAAUAUGAAAAAAAAAAAAAAGAAGAAAGAGAGAAGAAGUGUUUGUUAAUAAGUAGAUACCUGGGAAUAGCAGCACGGACAUAUCUUGAAGCAAAUGUGGAGUUCAAAAUCUCCCUGGAGUCUGUUUCUGUUGUUGAAAUCACCAUUUUUGUUUUUGUUUUGUGCAGAGAAGAGAGACUCUUGAGUCUGAGAGAAAUGAAUAGAAAUUGCUGAGAUACAAAGGAAAGAGAGUGAUUGAGAGUGAGUGAGUGAGUGAGUUUUGACUUUUGAUGGCAACUCAGCUCUUCACUCUUCGGACGGAAGUGGAGGUGGCCUCUGCAUUAAUAAUCAAUUAUCUUGGACUAUUUCCCAAGUUAAGCGGCAGUCACGUAAAUUCAGGACACGUAAUGCAAAGUUGCGUAUUACUCCUCAGUUUUUAAUUACUAAUUAUUUGAGGGAUGUUGUUAAGUUAUAUUAUUUUUUUUUACAUCAUUUGGUUUUUUGUUAUUUUAUUGGUCUCGAUUAAUUUAAAUUCAGGAUAUAGUCAUAAUUAAAAUUUUUAUUUCUCCUAAAUAAUAUAUUUAGUGAGAAUUGAAUAUGAGAGUUCUUUCUAUUUAUCCAACCUAUAUCGCCAACUAAACUAUAAUUAUUUGAUCGUUAAGUUUUAUUAUAAUAUAACUUACAUUAAUUUAAAAAUUAUAAUUAAUAACCUAAAAAUAAUUUAAUUAAUUUUAUUUUUAAGUCAUUAAUUAUGCAUUUUUGGUUGACGUACUUAACAAGUAUAUAAGCUUAAAUGUAAAGCAUCGUUACUUGGCAAUGUGGGCAUGCAUGGGGCCCGCAUUUGCUUUUCCUCAAUAUUCUUUUCUUCAAUAAUAAUCAAUCUAGUUGAUGAUGUCCUUCGGUGCGUCAUCCUUGGACCCCAAAACUUGAAUAACCAGUAAAAUUAAAAUAAAUUAUUUAUUUGAAUUAUAAGAAUUAGAAUUAAAAUAAAAUAUAUUUAUUUUAUCUUAUAAAUUAAAAAACCUUUUAUUAAUUAUUAAAAAUUAUAUGUUUGUUUAGAAACAAAAAAGGAGUAGAUAUUUUUCUGUAAAUAUUAUUGUCUUUUUUAUUAUUAUUACAAAUAUUAUAAUAAAAAUAAUAAUUAUUAUUACCAUUGUUAUUAUAUAAUAUAAUAAAAUAAUGACAAUUAUCAUUCUUAUAAAUUGAUUAUUACUAUUAUUAUUAUUAAAAUUUUAUUACUAUAAUUGUAAUGGUAAUAGUAGUAGUAAUAUUAAAAUUAUUCAAUUUUAUUAUAAUAAUUAUAAUUAAUAAUCCAUAAUUAAUACUAUUAACAGCAUUAACAGUCAAUAAUAAUAAUCAUAGUAAAAGUUACUAUCAUUACUAUUAAUGCUAUUAUUGCUGUUAUUGUUGUUAUUAUUAUUAUUAUUACUAUUAUUUUUUUAAUUAUAAAUAUUCUUAUAAUUAUUAAAUAAGGUAAAAGAAUAAAAUUUUGAUUUUGAAGUAAAUACACCGCAAAUGAGGGAUGGGAAUUUUCCGGACCUAAGAAACAAACACCCUGUCAACAUUAAAUUGGAAUUGUCAUUUUGAAAAUGGACGGCAAUGCAGCCUAUGAGGUACAGUCUAAUUGGAAAGUGGGUCCAUUGUCCGCUUCGAGAAGAGUUCUUAAGAUGGUCCCGGUUGCAACAAAUCCUUCACUGUCCCUUUUCCCCGCAACAUACGUUCAUGUCCUUAUCUGCGUCGGCAAACUGAAAUAUACCAAACACGUGCGUCGUCUCACUAUCCACCACGUGUCCACUUCCGCAUACCGACAGCCAUGGUUGUCCCCCCACAGUCCAUUAUUGGCCUCCUGUGCAUCGCUUCAAAUGCCUAAAUUGCAAAAUGAUUAAAUGAAUUCUAAUUUCGAUACUGUUUUCGAUUUAGUAAUUUUUUAAAAAUAUAUUAAAAUUAAAAAAAAAAGUUUAAAGGAAAUAUUGGUAUGCAUUACUUCUCACGGAUGCUAAAAAUAAUUUGGUUGGGGUGCGUUUAGGACAGCAGUACUGUAGAAAGCAUUUCAUGAAAUAUGGAUUAAGGUGAUUAGUGAGAUUCUAAUUGGACCGUAUGACAAUUAAAUAUUACGAGGAUCUUUUUAUAAAAUCGUAAUUAAUAAAUAGAAUGAUAGAUGAAUCUUGUAAUGAUUUAAAGCAUUCGACGGCGUAAUAAUGCUAUUGGUGGCGAAUCCAUCUCUUAUCCAGCUGUUAACCCAACUACCUCAUCUUAUCAACAAUCAAAGUCUAUAAGAUAAAUGUCACUAACGCAUCUCUCUUACCCCUUUGGUUAAUUAAGAUAAUUCUCAUUACAUUUAGUAGAAAGUUUUUUUUUUCUUAUUUUUAAAGGUAGAAUGACUGAAUGAGUGAGUAAAGUUCAAAUUAAUUGUUAAUCUCUUAAUUCUUUCAAGACUGGAAUUUGAGCAGGGACAGAGGAAGUAUACGGCUGAAGAGUGGUGCCAUGCAUGAGAGAGUUUGAACAAAUUUCGUCUAAACUCCACCCCUAAACUCGAGUGCUAAUUAAAUAAAUCGACUUAAAAUUAAACCACUCGACUAAGCCCCUGAAACUAUAUUUAGAAGAAAUUGUCAUCAAGCUCUUUAGUUUUCAAGUCCAUCUCAACUUAUUUACCCAAAUCUAAUUGUAUUUUCAUUAAAGCCUAAGGCUAUUCAAUCCAUCUUAUGGCUAAAGGUGGUCAUUUGUGUAACAACCACAUAUCUAAACAAUAUAAUCAAAAUAAAAAUUUAGCAAAUUUAAAUUGACACCAAAACGACACAAUUAUUGUGUAAAGAUAAUUUUUAAAUUUAAAUUUAGAGUUCUAAUUUCUAAAUAGAUGAAUCUACUUGUGAUUCCUACUUUCUUAAUUAAAUUUUACCAUUUCAAUUUAAACACAUUUUAAACAGAUGACGUGAUUUUGACGCACUUUACUACUUUAAUAAUUAUAUCAAAUUAACGUUUUGAUUCCUAGCAAGAUUAACUAGGUCCCAUUCAUAUUGAAAAUAAUAGGACCUGCCCAUGUGAACUAAAAGUUUUAUUAUAUUUUUGCUCAAGAUGUCACAAAUAUAACUCAACAACUCAAGUGGCCACCUCGAUUUAUUAUUAUUUUCUGUUCAAUAUAUAUGUUCAUGUAUAUUUAUUAAGUUCCUUCAUGGGGUAUGCUUUUAAUGAUUUUUUCAAAUUGUAGGUGCCAUAUUUUAAAGAUACCACAUUACACCGCAUGUCCACUCUUUUAGAUAAAAAGAAACUAUUUCACUAGAAAUAAUAUUCAAGAUAAGAUUCCUCAGGAACUUAUAAAAAAUGACAAGAGGUGGAAUUAGACUUAUAUUAAUUCCAAAAUCUACUGUCUAAAGAAACUAUGCUAAAAGUCAUAAUGAUAAAGAAACAGACACAUAUAGAGUAAAUAUAUACGAUUCCCUGCAACCAAAUUUACAUCCACAUGUAUAGUAAUGAUGAGUGACACAUGUCAUUAGAUUGAUACAUGUACUUAGAUUUAGGGUUCAAGGCAUAACUCUAAUUUCACGUCACCCAUCAUUAUAAAUAGAGGUCCAUCUCUAAAAAAAAAAAAAGGGGUCUUUGGCCUUUGAGAAAACUCAUUUUCUUCUUCUUUUUUCUUUCUUUAACUUUAAUAAAACACUAAUUUGGGUGUUGGAGUGCAUUUUUCAUGUACUCACCCUGCCAAAUUCAAGGUCAACUGAUCUUUAUAAAUUCUCCGUAACCUUCAAAUACGUCUGAAGGAAAAAAUAUAACAUCUUCGAUUAGCGCUGUUUAUGGGGAAUUUGUAAGUUGAAACCAUUUUUUCUCACUAAAACCCAUACAACUAUUAUUCCACAGUCAUUUGUUUAGAUCAGAUUUGGUUACGUAUAGUUGUAAAAAGAGGCAAAUACUCACAUAUGCCCGAUUAAAAAUGGAUUUAUAUGUGAGGCCUAAAUCUAAAAUAUGAUUAAAAGGCAAUCAAGCCAAAAAUCCAAGCUAAAAUAGAGGGCUCUCCUCCAUAUUAGUUGUUCGAGAUAAAGGGCAAGAAAAUGAAAAACUCAUUUAAUCAAUAUAAUACUUUAAACUUUGGGUUUCUAGCAAAACAACAAUCAAGAUGGUAAGAAGGGGUCAAAAUAGUCUCUAAAACUAAGUCCAAGACCAAUUUACCUUUUGUUUUAUCUUCAUCUUGUUUGCUGCAAUUAUGCUAAUUUUUUAACAGCAGCGUUGACUUAUUUAUGUUUCUGCAAUUUUAUUUAUUUUCAUAUACUUUUUUAUUUUUCCACGGGUGAGGUUAAGAAAAACCUAAGCAUUCCCCUUAUGAGAUAGAUUAUAUGAAGAAGGCUAUUAAGCCGACGUGGAUUAACAUUACUCUACACUAUAAUCUAAUAACUAUAAUUCCGUAUCUGACAUUUAUAUUAAUGCAAUUUACUUUUCGGUUCUCUGAUGCUUGUUAUCAUGUUAAAUGCUCCCUCUUAUUUAUUAAAAAUCAUGUUAACAUCUUUUAUUUUUAAUUUUAUUAUGUCAUUUCUAACUUUACUUGACUUAUCCAUGAGUGAGGCAACCAAAAGCACAAAUAUUCACCCUGAUAGGGAAUAUACAAAAGGGUAUCACGCAAAUGUGGAUUGAUCUAACUUGUUUUGGAUUUUAAUACUUUAUUAAAUAAAAACAUGAUUUAUAUAAGUCUGCCAUAAAAAGCUAAUUUUUAUUUAAAAUUGGCCUAUAUUUAAGUGUUUAUAUUUGAAAAAGGCUGAAGAAAUAAGGACGAGGGCAUUUGCAUUAUGUACAGUCUCAUUAUUUAUGCAAAAAUAUAAAUAUUGAACUAUUUUUUCAUAUUCUUUUUUCAUUGAUCGGAGGAGAAUAGCAAGUUUUCCGUAUCCGAUUACCUAAUCAUCAAUUUAAUGAAAGCACCCUUUUUUUUCGCUCUAUAACAUUUUCCCAAUACCAUCUUUCCACGGAUCGAAUUUAUAGACGUUCAUUCAACUCCAAUUCUUUAAAUUUGGAUCUAGUGCUAAAUUGAGUUAUAUUAAACUCGCGUGCAUUUAUAAAUUAUAACAAUGAAUGCUUAGGAUUUAAUUAUAUGUUAUUUUUUAUUGAAUAACUAUCAAUCACAAUAUUAUAAAAAGCUCAACACAAAAAUAAAUUUCAAUUCUUUACCAGGAAGCCAUUAAAUAUAUUACACACACACACACACACACACACACACACACACACAUAUAUAUAUAUAUAUAUAUUAUUCUUUAUCCAAAAUAAAAUUUCCUGGAAUUUUGUUGGACUGCAUAUUGAAGAUUAUGCAUGCAUGUGGAGGAGAUCCCAUUUCAUCAAGCAACCUAAUCCAAAUCUUCAUUUCGUGGAGUGAAAGCCCCCUUUUGAUGGAUCUGCAUGGCCAUCAGCUGAAAAUAGCUGAUACUUGUAGUUUUGGUUGUUUUGAGUGGGAAAAUAUAAAUACAAUACUUGUUUGAUUACGGUCACGAUUUUGAGUGGGAAAAAUAUAAAUACAAUAUUUGUAUGAUUACUUUCACAAAUGAAGUAUCUGGAGCAUAGGGGAGUAAGAACAUAACAAAAUAUAAAGGGCGUGUUGCGAAUCCAAUUGGCAAGUAUCUAAAGUAUUCUCUAUCUCAUUUCUCAAUCUUUAAAUUGAAUGUGAUUAAAAAUGUCGAUGGUUAUUUAUAGCCCAUUAAACAUAUCAAUGCGUCAUACAUUUAGCAACACACUCUUCGAAUUUUAAAAGAAAAAGUGUUGUGUGCAUAACAACUUGUGUGAAUUGACUAGUAUGAUGAACAACUAAUAAUAUGUUUCAAUAGGUAUGAUACAUUUACACCACAAAUCAUGUAGUUACUUUUAGAAUUCAUUUCCUAAAGUCAUUUGUGUGAAACACACGUUACUUUUUUUUUUAAAGAAUAGAUAGACAUAUAUUAUUACACUCCCCCUUGUAUAUUCAUCACUUGAUGAUAAUUGUAAUUCACCUUUGCUCAAGAAAAACCCUACAGGAGAAGAACCCCAAAGCAAAAGGAGUACAAUUCAACGAAUCAUAAAGUGGUUGAACAUGCUUUGAAACUACGUGUUAAAAAUCUUUGCUACUAAACCUAGUGGAAUCAAAACUUGCUCAAGGGAACAAAAGUAUAGUGCACAUGUGUCUAGGUUAUUCGCACAAUUUCUUCUUAGGAAAGAUUGUGCUCCCCCAAUUCAGUCCUACCCCAAUCAAUACUCUUGAUUGCUGCACAAUACUCUCUCUGAUGUUAUUACCCAUCUGGGUGUUGAGUCUUUUUUAAAUACCAUGUGCCUUUUGGAGCCUCAUUUGUAGCAGGACACUGGCAAAAUAACCUUCCUCUUUUGAGGAACCUUUGAAGCAAGUAGUCUACCAUGCUUCGAGCAUAUUGUAGACCUUUCCUCAACUGCUCACAAAAUUAUCCCUAAAGAACAAUGACCUAGCUAGGUACAUUAGCUAUUGACUUGGCUAUAUUUACUGCAUCCAUAGAUGCAUUUGCCAUCUGCUGCAUAUAAGUUACCCUCUACACUUGACAUGCAGAGAGGUGUGAGGAUAUAGGUGAUAUAUACUUGAUACUUCUUCAAAAAGAUCAUGCCUUACCCUAAGAGGUGUUUUUUCUCUCGUAAUGAAGGAAAACUUAUCUCAUCAAAGUGAUGGCCCUCAAAACAUGCAGUAAACAUAUCACUUGUCAGGGUUUAAAAGACAUGAUAAUUAUUGAUGAGUUAAAACCAACAAAAAUUGCCAUUGUUCUUUUCAGAACAAACAUAAUUUAUGCUUACAGUGUGUGGAUCUACAACAAAAUAAAAAUAUAUUUGAUUUCAAGACAAAAAACAUAUAAACAAAAUAAAUAAAAUUAAAUAGAUAAUCAUUUAAUUGAUAAAGAUACUUCCGUUGGCAAUUCGAUGAUUGAUACUCUAAUCCUUUGUCUUCAAUAUUUUGUCUUCAGACUUUGUUGACAAUGUUAGUAGAAGAUAAACAUAGAAAUAUUAUAGCCAUCCUUAUUUUCUAAUGUGGAAGUUACAAUUUAAUGGUAAUCAUAGAGUAUACUUGUAAGGAUAAUUUAUUAAAUAAAUAGAUAAAGUAAAGCGUAGUCGUGCAAAUAAUGUGUUGUGAAUCAAAUUAGGAAGUAUGCAAAGUGUCCUUUUAUCUCAUUUCUCAAUCUCCAAAAUUGAAUGUGAUUAUAAAUUGUGAUGACUAUUUAUGGCCAAUGAAACAUAUUAAUUGGUUAUGCACUUAGCAACACACUCUUUGUAUUUCAAGAUGUUGCGUAUAUGACAUCUCAUGAAUUGAUUAGUGUGAUGGACAACUCAUAAUAUGUUUUAAGAGGUGUAACACAAACCAUCAAUUAUGUAGCUAUUUUUACAUUUCACUUCCUAAUGUCAGUAGUGUGAAACACACAUUACUUUUAUCAAAAGAUCGAUGAAAAUAUCUCAUAACAAGGGGCUAUUUGCACUUGUACUCUAAACACCCCUUUUUCUAAAAUAUCUACUUAUUAAAACUAAAAGUUAUUUUUUUUAAACUUAUGAGAUAAAAUAUUGCUUUUUUUUUAAGAUGUGAGAUAAAGUACAGAAUUUGAUAUGUUAGUUUUUCAUCUAUUCCAUUAAAUAAACCAUUAUUUCAUGCAAUAACAAAUGGGACUGACUGGUUUUAAUGGCUACACUAUUAAACAAGAUGAAGAAGAAAUGGUAUACAAUGAAAUAUUAAUUCAAUUACAUAAGAACGCCCAUAACAGUUAAUUACUCUUUCAGUAUAUUUUCGUUAUAACAAAUAUUUAAUAAAAAAUGGGUGUUCAAUUCAAAUUAGCAUUUUAGAAUGUAAAUAGACCUAUCCAAAUGAAAAUUGUUAAACAAGUAAAAAGGGCAUUCAUAUAUAGUUAUGAUCAGAGACAUAAAAAAAAAAAAUAGUUAUUUUUAAUAGCAAUUGAAAUUUUCUUGUGACUCUGCGUAUACUUCACAAAUAGGACUGCUCUGAAAUUUUAGCUAGUCUUUCUUGCUUUAGAUAUUAGGGUUGCAUCUUUGAGUUCUGUUUUGAUAAUCUGAAUAUGCAACUCUUAACUAAACUUUGUUUCCGUUUAAUUUUUUUUCCAAUUAUUUAACUGAUCUUGAAACAGGUUUCAUGUGAUUUAAUAUGUGAAUAGGCCCCCUGAGAUUCUCACUCUCAAACAUUGCUUGGAUUAGAAUCAAAGUCUGGAGAAUGAGAAUGUUACAGACAGACCUAACGUUGACGUCAAACAUCAUUUUUAUUAUUACCAUCCCCUGCUGCGAACUUGCUCUUGCCACCACCUUACCCAACUCUGAAAGAACCUUCCCAACUAGAUAAUAAACAACUCAAAAACAUUCCUUUGUCUUUUAACAUUUAAACCAGCAGUCCCAAAAACCAACGUGCCAGAGUGACCACCAAAUGGCCAAAAGAUCAGAUUUCGCGCAGAAACUGUUGGAUGAUCUCCGGUUGAGAAAGGAACGAUUGGCUACCUCGUCGUCCUCUCAGAGUUCAAACCGAACGACAAACACCGCAGUUGCGGCGGCGGCAGCAGCAGGAAGAGGUAAGAAUUUCUUGGAAUUCUGCAUUAGAAUUUAGAAAGCAUGCAUUCUUUGAGAUAUCUAAAGAUAUACUUGUUUCUUUACUUGAAGCAACCGAGAAAAAAAAAAAAAGCACGUAAAUGCCUUUUUCUUUUUAUAAGGAUUAGAAGUCUCAUUUGGUGACUCCAAAGUGAUGACUGUAGAAGUGUUUCAAUUAAGAAUCCUUGACUAUAUUAAAAUCAGAGGUAAACUAAAAACUAAAAAAAAAAAAAUAUACAGAUCCAAUGCCGUGUAUUUUGUCCUAUAAUGUAUUGACAUUCAUAUUUUUUUGUCUUUUAAUUUAUCUCAGACAUUAAUACGGUCAGGGCCUCAGUACUCUUGUGUUUGUCUUUGUUUGACAGAUGCAUAUGCUCUUGCGAAGAGAAACUAUAGAGGAUCCAGGGAACUGAAAACAAGUGAAACUGUAAGUUCUCGAAAUUGAUGUUUGUGUAAUUUGUUGACGUAACACUUGGAAUUAGAUGGUAAUUUAUUUCAUUUAGUUCAACAGGCUGGUUUUAGAACUGGGGCAGCACGGAACAGGUCAAGCGGUGGCAGCAAAUCGUUAACCAGUAGAGAGGCUGCAAAACAAAUUGUUCCUUAUGGGGGAGGUCGGAGCUCGGAACAAAUAGGAGAUUUUUCGAGGGCCCUGACUUUUGCCAUCGAGAAUGGAGGCAAACUCACAAGAAUGGAUUCUACAGCCGGCGGUACAACAAUGCUGGCUUUUUUGAAUCAACUGGGUAGAGGAUCAAUGGACUACGGGAAGGUGGAAAGAAGAAAUAUGCUAGACAGGCGGCAUAGGCCUUCAACUAGUAACUUCCCUACUUUCUCUCACGUUCAUAUUGAAGAAAUAUCAAGGGGAGCGCAAAAAUUGAACCAAAUCCUGAGAGCCUGCUCUCACGGCCUGAACUUUGAUAGAUACUCGAUAGAAAUUGGAAAGGAGCUACUGAAGGGAGCUGUGGAUUUGGAAGAGUCUUUGCGGAUGCUUGUAAACCUGCAGGAAGCUUCGGAAUACAUGAUAAGCCCACAGAGAAAAAGUCGGAUUACAUUGCUUGACGAGGAUGAAGACGAAGAAGACAGUGAUGGCAAAAUAGCUGCGCAAAGGCAGUUGGACCUGCCAAGAUUUUCCUUUGAUAAGCGCUCAAGAAAUUAUCAUGACAUUGAAGAAGUUGCAAGGAAUGAUCUCAAGCUGAGGCUGGCAGCUCUUACUUACCCAUCAGAAGCUACUAGUUUCAUCUAUGAAAAGCAAUCAGCAUCUCACAAGCGCUCAGCUAGCACUUCGUCACAAUCCAAAGGAGAAAAGGUGAGAAUUCCUAAUGUAAUCGCAAAAUUAAUGGGGCUGGAAGAGCUUCCAGAAAACGAAGAUUCAAAAUACACUACUCAGAAAGACUCUGGCUCCAAGCAGAAAGUACAGGAAAGAGAUUUGAAGAAGACUGUGCAAGGAAGCAGUAAAAAUGCUAAAAAGAGAACAGUUGAUAGCGGGAAUCUGGCACACCUAACUGCAAAGGCAAAGCUGACUCAAACCAACAAGAUUCCGGCAGCCCGAAAUGAUAAUGUUGCUUUACAAGCAGAAAGAAACCUGGCUGCCCGCAAUGAUACCUUGGAAAUGACCAGUACCAAAGUUGAUAAGCUGCAAAGUAACGUUACACAAUCGAAUGUCACCAAUGGAAGACUGAAGGAUGUUCAGGAAAAGCAGAGAGAGCUAAAAGGUAGAGAAAAGAGCAAAAUGAAGGAACCAAUCUCAAGGGACGAGCUGCAGCUAAUGGCACCUCAUUUACAUAAAAGGUCACAAUCUGCAGUCCUAUCACCAACAGAAAACGUCUACCCGAACAAACUUCUCAAUGUCGCUCAGGGUAAGUCCCAAAACGAUAUUGGAUUACAGCAGCAACCCAAGCUUCAAAACUUGUCCAAGGAAGCAGAAUGGAGGGCACAUCAGAAUGCAAAGCAGAAGAAGCCGAUAAGGAAGCAAAAAGGAAGUGAACCGAUUUUUACUGCUUUAUCAAAAUCAAGGCAUCAUGAAAUUGAUUUGGAAAAGAAACAGUCACAGAGAAACCAAGCUGCAGCUAGUAAGAAAAGUCUCACUGACGAUGUUGAUGCGGUUGGUCGACAUCAUGGAGAUAUUGCCAGCAAUAGAAAUUCCAUCAACUUAAAUGCCAACACAAAAGUUUCAGCCAGCAGGAACCCAAAUCAGGACAUAUCUCUGACAGAUCUGCAAUCCAAAUUGGCAAAACCAAAAGCUGCCAUGCAGCCACCACCACCCAUAGAAAAGAAACCUGUUCUUGAACCAGACACAUGGAAGGCAGAAAGUAUUAAGCUGCAAAAAGUAGAGCUUCCACGAAAAAUCAAUGAAGUAAUGAUCAGAAGAGGUGGGAAUCUGCAGAGCUCCGGUAAGUCUCCAAAACAUCAGCAUUCCAUUCUGCAAGAAAUGAAACAGAGGAGUGACAAACUCAGUGGCCCCAAAGAAGCAAGACACCUGAAAGCUAGGAAGUCCAAAGAAACAGAAUUAAGUAUCAUCAAGUCCAAAAUAUCAGUCGCUAGCAUCCAACCUUCAACAGCGGCUGAACAACUGAAGAAAGAAGCUGAACAUGUUCCCAAUUUGUACAGUCCGGCCGAAGAUGAAAGCCAAAGCCUAAAAGAGACACAAACUCUCUCUCCAGAUGACAGUGUAAGUCCACUUAUACUGCAAUCUAUUAGCUUUUAUUUACAUUAUAAGAACUACAACCUUCUCUUUAUAUUAGGUUCAUUCAUUUAAGCUUUUCUGUGUGAUUUGCAGUGUCCAGAGGCGGUCUUUACACUUAUGAAAGAUCAGCAAUUCAAGCACCACAUCGCGGAAUCCAAUUCAAUGGAUGGUGGUAAUUAAUUCACUUUCCCAAUUAUUAAUCAUGUCUUGCUUUUGGACCCUUCACGACUGAGUAACCAAGUUUGUUUUUCUUUUUGCAGGAACCCACGAAGGCAUUACUGAUGUCUCUUACACUUCACAGCUUGAGUGGCAGAAAGUUUCUAAACCAGAAACACCGGCUCCAUUGACUGAAAGUGAAAAUGAUCUCAAGCAAAUACUAGUUAAAAGCCAAGUAUUUCUUCAUACAGCAGAGGCUCUUUUCAAACUCAACAUGCCUUAUGGCAUUCUUUAUGCCGGUGGCCUUGACUGUCAAGAUGAAGACAGCAAGCUCAUAUUAGACUGUGGCUACGAGGUAAUGAAAAGAAAAGGGAGAAUGCAAGAGCUAAGCGUUCAUCCUUUCAUAAAGGUCUCAAUGACAACAACAAAAGUAAGGUCAUUGGAUGAAUUGGUUAAAGAGCUGUAUAAAGACAUUGGCAAGUUGAAACUCUAUGGCAGAAAUGGGAAUGCUGAAGUUGCCAUUGAAGAUUAUUUGCCUAAAAUGCUUGAACUUGAUGUGUACAACAAGGACCCAGAUGUGAACUGUAUGUGGGACUUGAGUUGGAAUGAGAUGAUGUUUGCAUUUAUUGAAAAAGAUGAUGUUGUAAGGGAUGUGGAAAGGUCUGUUCUCAAUGGACUUGUGGAUGAGAUCACCACAGACCUUUAUCGGGUCCAAGUUCAAGCAUUUUGAUCAGAUUGGGGCAGAAUCCUGUGAAAAUGAUUCAGGCAAAUUUGGUUUUGGAAUCCAGUUUGUUGUGUCAAGGAAAAAUCGAUUUGGAAUCAAAUUUGGACAGGUAUAAUUAUAUUGUAAAUAUAGAGAGCUCACCAGCACUUGUAACAGUUGCCUGUUAUUAGUUGGCACUCGAGGAAGAUGUGAAAGAUGUAAAAGAACCUCAGCGGUUGGGCGUCGACGACUGGACAGCUGGAUUUUAGAAUACAUUAGAAAUGCUAUAUCCAGUUUAUGUAUGUAUACCAUGUAUGCUGUUUUGGAUAUUAUUCCACAAAUAUACAAUAUGUCCCCAUUGGAUCUCGUGGUUUUGAGGGCAUGAGCUUGAACUUCAUAGAGUUCAUUCAAAGUUUCUAUCUCAAAUAUGUAAAGUAAAGGCAGAUUUUUUUUUUUUUUUUUUUUCUGAACAUAUGAACGUUUUUUUUACGAAUAUAUGAACAUUCUUCGACUGUAAUAUGCAAGUUUAUGCAUAUAAUAUUUUUGUCUGGACAUAAAUUUACAUUUGUUACGAUCACAUUAAGAGGAACGCUACAUGUACACUUAUGUAUAAUUGUCAUCAUUUUUGUACAUUUACCAUUUUCCUUACAUUAAUCGCUGAGAUCACUUGUAUCUGAUGAAGCAAAAAAAAAAAAAAAUGUAUAAUAAAAUAUGAUGUACAAGUACAAUGACAAUUUCUAAGAAACAACCACUUUCGAAGUUUGUCCCAUCUUCGAUUUGAAAAUAAAACGGUUUCUACAUGAUAGCCCCAUCCCUGCCAAUAACCAAAGGCGGCCUCUCAAACAUAUUUGAAUAAAAAAAGCGGAAGAGAUGACGGAUGAGGAACUGCUCGUGUACACCAUUGUCUAUGCAAAAGUAUAAAUAUUAAAAGCCUAUAUUUUCACCUUUUUUUUAUUGAUUCGAGGGCAAGUUUUUUGGAAAUCCGAUUAUCCAAGUAUCAAUUUAAUGAGAUCACAUUUUGUUUUGCUCUAGAACAUUUUCCCAGUACCAUCUUUCCGCGGCACAGAUUCAUGAACGUCCAUUCGACUCCAAUUCUUUAGCAGGGGGGCCAUUUGGUCAACUUUGUCGAACAACCCAAGGAGCCCGCCGGUGUGCACAAAGAGGACCUUCCUCCCUUCCCACUUCUUUGGAUUCUGAGCCAUGUCGUUCAGCAUCCCGUAGGCAGCUUUUCCGCUGAAAGGGAAGACAAUCCCACCCACCAAAAAUAAGUCUAGAUGCCCAACAAAGUAAGAAGCUCAAGUAAAAUCAAGAACGAAUAUAAAAAAUGAAAAUAGAGUUUGAUUUUAUGUAGUAAUUAUGUUCACAAUUUUGCAAAUGAGUAUUAGCUGAUGUGACAUCAAAAGCAAUGCACGGUGUUGGGAGGGAUCCGGAGCACCCCUUGCUUAAAACAACAAUUUUGUUUAUGCAAACUCUUAGAUAUUCAUAAUUGAAAGCAUCCUUUUAAUCCCUGAUCACAUGCGUAAAUUAUGCUGAUUACGAAUAAUUAAAAUGCAAACAACCCCUCCCCCCAAAUCAAGUUGGAGCCCCCAUAUUAUAAAAAAUUAUAUAUGGAGUAUAAUUAAUUGUCGUACCUGUAAACUGGAUCAAGAACUACACCAGUUGCUGCAGCAAUAUCUUUAACAAAAUUAAGCUCCUCAGAAGUGUUGAUUGCAUAGCCUAGACCUUUAGACUGAGAAAAACAGGAACACAGGAGGAAAAAAAGAAAUCUUGUUAUUUCACAUUCAAAGAAUCAAUCUGUCAAUGGAGGAACCAUUAAAAGGGAAAAAUAUCACACCGUCUGUUUAGAUACGCACAAGAAGAAAAGCUGUCCUACCUUUUCUGUAAAGUUAAAAAGCAGGAGACCUACCAAACUCAGUUACAAUUACACAGGCAAAAUUUUACAUGCUAAGCAACAUAUGUUCUCAAGUUGCCGGUGAAAUUGUUAGGCCACAAGUGCGUUUCACAUAUGCAAGGCGCAAGGAUAAUUCCGGAAAUACCAAUCGUGGCUGACGUGUCAUCAAGUAGUAUAGAGAGAAGAGUUUGUUAUGCAUUUCUGUUACUAAUAAGUUGAUGGUAUUCGGUUUUGAUAAUUUGUUAGAUUUUUCUGUUAUUCUAUUUGGGCGUAGAAGUGAGGAGGUUAUAUGGAGAGGAGCUGGUUUUUGGGAGGGGCAUCCAGAGAAUUAUUUUGUAGUGAGCUUGCUCAUUUUUUGGGAGAGAUACCAAGCCUCUCGAAUGCUUGGGUGUUUUGGUUUAUUUCUACAGAUAAAUACCAGUUUUCCUACAUCCAACAACAUUUUGCUCUCUACUGUGUUGUUUAUCUAACCAUUUUAGUUCAGGGUUUAUCAAAUUGGUAUCAGAGCAAGUCACGUACCUGGAAAAUGACUGGCAACAAUGUUGCUCAACGAAUGGAUUCCAUGGAGGAGGCGAUGGUUGCUGCGUAGGAGGAGUUUCAACGGGAAAUGGGAUCGUUGAAGGAUGAAAUACAGACGAUGAACAAACGAUUCGAACAGUUCAUCAAACUUCAGGAGGAUACGGGAGGUUCGAAUUCAUAUAAAGGGGAAAAGAUGCUCAGCCCCAACUUCGGCGGUGGGUCGAGCUCAGGCGGAACUCGCCCUGAUUUCCGAUUCCGGAAACUUGAGAUGCCACUGUUCGAUGGCUUAAAUCCGGAUGGCUGGAUUCUGAAGGCUGAACGAUAUUUUUCCGUAAAUCGGUUAUCCAAUGAAGAAAAACUUGAGGCGGCGAUAAUAGCUUUCGAGGGAGAUGCCCUGUUGUGGUAUCAAUGGGAGAAUAGGAAGAGAUCCAUAGUGGUUUGGGAAGAGAUGAGGGUACUAAUCUUGAAACAAUUCCGAGUAAUCCAAGUCGGUUCUCUCUAUGAACAAUGGCUAGCCCUUACUCAAGAUAGCAGUAUGCGAGAAUACCGCCGGAAAUUCAUCGAACUUUCGGCGACGUUGGAGAACAUUACAGACGAACUAGCUCUGGGAAAUUUUAUCAACGGGUUGAAGCCUGAAAUCCGGGUCGAGGUUCGGAUCAUGGAACCCAGUAAUUUGGGCCGGGCCAUGGACUUAGCCCAAAAGAUUGAGGAGAAACUGUGGGUGACCAAGGCCCACAAAGCAGACGGUGGGUUUCAUCGAGCAAGAGGGUCAACGCGAGGUGUGAACUUCCAUUAUGAAGCUUCGCGACCUUCGUUUAGGGCAAAUCAUAACAUGGCUCGAUUUUCGGGAGAGGUUAGGAGGUUGUCCGAUUCAGAAUUACAGAAGAAAAGAGAGAAGGGACUAUGUUAUCGAUGUGAUGAAAAGUGGGCACCUGGGCAUCGCUGCAAGAAGAAAGAAUUGACUGUCCUUCUCACCUACGACAUGGACGAAGUAGAGCAGGAAGAGGAAGAAGGUUCGGGUGAAGGCGAUCCCGAACUGGAAACGGCCGAAAUUAAUCAAGUGGUAGAGGUCUCUCUUAACUCGGUGGUUGGUCUGACUACACCAAAGACGAUGAAGCUUAAGGGGACUAUCGGGGAGCAAGAGGUGGUGGUACUGAUUGAUUCAGGUGCAACCCACAAUUUUAUUUCUCUAGAUUUGGUUAGUAAGAUGCAGAUACCCAUUGUUAAAACUGGGGCUUAUGGGGUGACUAUGGGUACUGGAGCGGCUGUAAGGGGACAAGGUUUAUGUCGGGGAGUGACUAUUCAUCUACAGGGAAUAGAUAUUGUAGAGGAAUUCUUGCUGCUUGGGUUGGGGAGCUCGGAUGCUAUAUUAGGAGUUCAGUGGCUUGAAACUUUGGGGAUGACACACACAAAUUGGAAGACACAGGUGAUGAAGUUCAUGCUCGGAAAUGAAUCUGUUACUCUACGGGGGGAUCCGUCCCUUGGCAAGACUUUGGUUUCAUUGAAGGCAAUGAUGCGCACCAUUAAGCACGAGGGGGCUGGAAUUCUGGUGGAAUGUAAUCAAUUUGAAGGUCUGUGCGAAGUGAGCCCUGAGGUGCCACCGAAUCUAAACCAAGUCCUAGCAGAAUAUGAAUUGGUUUUUAACAUGCCCAUGGGCUUACCACCUACCAGGGGACAUGAGCAUUCCAUUUUGCUCAAAGACGGCAGUCAACCUGUUAGCGUCAGACCAUAUCGCUAUCCUCAUGCUCAGAAGGAUGAGAUUGAAAGACUGAUUCAGGAGAUGUUAGAUGCGGGAAUAAUCCAAGUCAGCAAUAGUCCAUUCUCGANNNNNNNNNNNNNNNNNNNNNNNNNNNNNNNNNNNNNNNNNNNNNNNNNNNNNNNNNNNNNNNNNNNNNNNNNNNNNNNNNNNNNNNNNNNNNNNNNNNNNNNNNNNNNNNNNNNNNNNNNNNNNNNNNNNNNNNNNNNNNNNNNNNNNNNNNNNNNNNNNNNNNNNNNNNNNNNNNNNNNNNNNNNNNNNNNNNNNNNNNNNNNNNNNNNNNNNNNNNNNNNNNNNNNNNNNNNNNNNNNNNNNNNNNNNNNNNNNNNNNNNNNNNNNNNNNNNNNNNNNNNNNNNNNNNNNNNNNNNNNNNNNNNNNNNNNNNNNNNNNNNNNNNNNNNNNNNNNNNNNNNNNNNNNNNNNNNNNNNNNNNNNNNNNNNNNNNNNNNNNNNNNNNNNNNNNNNNNNNNNNNNNNNNNNNNNNNNNNNNNNNNNNNNNNNNNNNNNNNNNNNNNNNNNNNNNNNNNNNNNNNNNNNNNNNNNNNNNNNNNNNNNNNNNNNNNNNNNNNNNNNNNNNNNNNNNNNNNNNNNNNNNNNNNNNNNNNNNNNNNNNNNNNNNNNNNNNNNNNNNNNNNNNNNNNNNNNNNNNNNNNNNNNNNNNNNNNNNNNNNNNNNNNNNNNNNNNNNNNNNNNNNNNNNNNNNNNNNNNNNNNNNNNNNNNNNNNNNNNNNNNNNNNNNNNNNNNNNNNNNNNNNNNNNNNNNNNNNNNNNNNNNNNNNNNNNNNNNNNNNNNNNNNNNNNNNNNNNNNNNNNNNNNNNNNNNNNNNNNNNNNNNNNNNNNNNNNNNNNNNNNNNNNNNNNNNNNNNNNNNNNNNNNNNNNNNNNNNNNNNNNNNNNNNNNNNNNNNNNNNNNNNNNNNNNNNNNNNNNNNNNNNNNNNNNNNNNNNNNNNNNNNNNNNNNNNNNNNNNNNNNNNNNNNNNNNNNNNNNNNNNNNNNNNNNNNNNNNNNNNNNNNNNNNNNNNNNNNNNNNNNNNNNNNNNNNNNNNNNNNNNNNNNNNNNNNNNNNNNNNNNNNNNNNNNNNNNNNNNNNNNNNNNNNNNNNNNNNNNNNNNNNNNNNNNNNNNNNNNNNNNNNNNNNNNNNNNNNNNNNNNNNNNNNNNNNNNNNNNNNNNNNNNNNNNNNNNNNNNNNNNNNNNNNNNNNNNNNNNNNNNNNNNNNNNNNNNNNNNNNNNNNNNNNNNNNNNNNNNNNNNNNNNNNNNNNNNNNNNNNNNNNNNNNNNNNNNNNNNNNNNNNNNNNNNNNNNNNNNNNNNNNNNNNNNNNNNNNNNNNNNNNNNNNNNNNNNNNNNNNNNNNNNNNNNNNNNNNNNNNNNNNNNNNNNNNNNNNNNNNNNNNNNNNNNNNNNNNNNNNNNNNNNNNNNNNNNNNNNNNNNNNNNNNNNNNNNNNNNNNNNNNNNNNNNNNNNNNNNNNNNNNNNNNNNNNNNNNNNNNNNNNNNNNNNNNNNNNNNNNNNNNGUGCGAAGUGAGCCCUGAGGUGCCAACGAAUCUACACCAAGUCCUAGCAGAAUACGAAUUGGUUUUUAACAUGCCCAUGGGCUUACCACCUACCAGGGGACAUGAGCAUUCCAUUUUGCUCAAAGACGGCAGUCAACCUGUUAGUGUCCGACCAUACCGCUAUCCUCAUGCCCAGAAGGAUGAGAUUGAAAGACUGAUUCAGGAGAUGUUAGAUGCGGGAAUAAUCCAAGUCAGCAAUAGUCCAUUCUCGAACCCAGUUUUGUUGGUUAAGAAGAAAGACGGAUCGUGGCGUUUUUGUGUGGAUUACAGGGCUCUCAACAAAGCGACGGUACUAGAUAAGUAUCCCAUCCCUGUCAUUGACGAACUCCUAGAUGAGUUACAUGGUGCUAGAAUUUUUUCCAAGCUAGAUUUAAAGUCGGGCUACCAUCAAAUUAGAGUCAGUAGUCAGGAUGUUCAUAAGACUGCUUUUCGAACGCAUGAUGGACACUACGAGUUCCUCGUCAUGCCUUUCGGACUAACGAAUGCCCCGACGACUUUCCAAUCCUUGAUGAAUGAUGUCUUCCGGCCUUAUCUUCGGAAGUUUGUGCUAGUAUUCUUCGAUGACAUUCUAAUUUACAGCCCUUCAGUGGAAUCCCAUCAGCAGCACUUGGCUCUCGUCUUGGGAAAAUUGCAGGCCAACAGCCUUUAUGCCAACCGAAAAAAAUGUGAGUUUGGAAGGACUCAAGUGGCAUACUUAGGCCAUAUCAUCUCUGGACAAGGGGUGGCAGCGGAUCCAAGUAAAAUCCAAGCCAUNNNNNNNNNNNNNNNNNNNNNNNNNNNNNNNNNNNNNNNNNNNNNNNNNNNNNNNNNNNNNNNNNNNNNNNNNNNNNNNNNNNNNNNNNNNNNNNNNNNNNNNNNNNNNNNNNNNNNNNNNNNNNNNNNNNNNNNNNNNNNNNNNNNNNNNNNNNNNNNNNNNNNNNNNNNNNNNNNNNNNNNNNNNNNNNNNNNNNNNNNNNNNNNNNNNNNNNNNNNNNNNNNNNNNNNNNNNNNNNNNNNNNNNNNNNNNNNNNNNNNNNNNNNNNNNNNNNNNNNNNNNNNNNNNNNNNNNNNNNNNNNNNNNNNNNNNNNNNNNNNNNNNNNNNNNNNNNNNNNNNNNNNNNNNNNNNNNNNNNNNNNNNNNNNNNNNNNNNNNNNNNNNNNNNNNNNNNNNNNNNNNNNNNNNNNNNNNNNNNNNNNNNNNNNNNNNNNNNNNNNNNNNNNNNNNNNNNNNNNNNNNNNNNNNNNNNNNNNNNNNNNNNNNNNNNNNNNNNNNNNNNNNNNNNNNNNNNNNNNNNNNNNNNNNNNNNNNNNNNNNNNNNNNNNNNNNNNNNNNNNNCAAGGAUGUCACCAGAUUUGUACGGGAAUGCACCAUCUGCCAGCAGAAUAAGUACUUGGCCACUACUCCCGCGGGGUUACUUCAACCUAUUCCACUACCAGCCCAGGUUUGGGAGGAAGUCACACUUGAUUUUAUUGAGGGGCUGCCUCGUUCUGAAGGGUGGGAUGCCAUCUUAGUAGUGGUGGACAGGCUGAGUAAGUAUGCUCACUUCAUAGGAUUGAAACAUCCUUUUUCUGCUGUUUCGGUUGCUGGAAUCUUUGUUCGUGAAAUUGUUAGGCUUCAUGGGAUACCACAGUCAAUUAUCUCUGACCGAGAUAGGAUAUUCUUGAGCCAUUUUUGGAGUGAAUUGUUCAAGCUGCAAGGAACUACUCUCAAAAGAAGCACCGCCUAUCAUCCACAAUCUGAUGGACAAACAGAAGUUGUCAAUCGUUGUCUGGAAACGUAUCUACGCUGCUUUACUUCUGGAAAACCUCAAAGUUGGGCUCGCUGGUUGGCAUGGGCUGAGUAUUGGUAUAAUACUUCCUUCCACUCUUCUACACGUUGUACUCCAUUUCGUGCUCUCUAUGAAAGGGAUCCACCCCCUCUUAUUCGGUACGAGCAAGGAGCUGCUUCGGUAUCUUUGGUGGAACAGUUAAUGGAGGAUCGUGAUGCCAUACUGGACGAUCUGAGGAUGCAGUUGCUUCGUGCCCAGCAGCGGAUUAAGCUGCAAGCUGAUCAAAAGCGCCAUCAUAUAGAGUUCAACGCAGGUGAUUUGGUAUUUCUGAAACUAAGACCUUACCGGCAGCGCUCCCUCGCUCAACGUAAGUUUGAGAAAUUAGCUGCACGUUACUAUUGUCCAUUUAAGGUUCUUCAGCGUAUCGGGAGGUGGCAUACAAACUAGAACUACCUCAAACAGCAAAAUUCCACCCUGUCUUUCAUGUUUCGCAGUUGAGGGCAGCAUUUGGUGUGUCAUCGUUUUCCCCCACAAUCCCCCCACAGUUGACUCCUGAGCUUGAACUCGUGGUGGAACCUGAAAAAUUGUUGGGAGUUCGUCCUAAGGUUAAUGGUCAAUCCGGUGAAGUGGAGGUGCUGCUCAAAUGAAAAUCCUUGCCUGAGUUUGAGGCAACUUGGGAGGAUUUUUAUCUGAUCCAACAACAAUUUCCCGAUUUCCACCUUGAGGACAAGGUGAAAGUUUGGGCGGAUGGUAAUGUUAGGCCACAAGUGCAUUUCACAUAUGCAAGGCGCAAGGGUAAUUCCGGAAAUACCAAUCGUAGCUGACGUGUCAUCAAGUAGUAUAGAGAGAAGAGUUUGUUAUGCAUUUCUGUUAGUAAUAAGUUGAUGGUAUUCGGUUUUGAUAAUUUGUUAGAUUUUUCUGUUAUUCUAUUUGGGCGUAAAAGUGAGGAGGUUAGAUGGAGAGGAGCUGGUUUUUGGGAGGGGCAUCCAGAGAAUUAUUUUGUAGUGAGCUUGCUCAUUUUUUGGAAGAGAUACCAAGCCUCUCGAAUGCUUGGGUGUUUUGGUUUAUUUCUGCAGAUAAAUACCAAUUUUCCUACAUCCAACAACAUUCUGCUCUCUACUGUGUUGUUUAUCUAACCAUUUUAGUUCAGGGUUUAUCAGAAAUUGUACCCAAAUUAGAUAAACCUUUGCCCAUUUAUUGACUUGCAUGACACAACCCAUUAUAACCGCUAUGUGUGUGUGUUUCUUUCAUUUUCAAUUAAUAUUUAAUUGAUUUAAGUUCGGUAAUAUGAAUUGACAUCAUAACCAAGAUCAAUAUGAUUGUAUUUUAUUUCCAGUCCACUACUCCAAUCAACGGUGAAGAUAGCAGUCUAGUCACCACUCACCAACAGAAGUUUCCAGUAUCCAUUAGUUUCAUUGAAUCAGUUCUAGCUAACAAAUGUGUAAAAGGGAAAUGAAUAAAAUCAUGCCAUUCUCACAUGCUAAGUCAAAAAACCAUUUGGUUCACGAUUUUCCUUCUCUACUAGCAUCUAAAUAACCAAAUUUGGAGUCAUACUCAAUAAAAUUAUACUGUAUCUGAAAUUUCAGGUAGUUAUUUUGGCAUCUAACAAAGAAGUGAAGAGCAAAGCCAUCAUUGUCAUCUUUGGAGAAGCAGAGGGAGUAAAGGAAUAAAAUGGUGGCUAGGUGGACGAGGAUGUGAAAGAUUUAACCACUGGUGGCAAAUUUAUGCUUAAAAAUAUGAGAGAAAAAGGGGAAGGUGAGAACUGACAACACAUGGAGUUUUUGGAGUUUUUCCUAGCUACAAGCUGAGUAUGUUAAAUCUUUGAACAAGUCUUGUGAAUACGGAUGACCACAGUUUGAAGUACUCCUUUAAGUUUUAUUCUUAUAGAAUAUAAUUUUGAAAAAUGAAAUUUGGCUACUACUUUUGAAUUGACAAAACAAGAACUUUAUGAGGAGAGUAAAAAGCCCCAAAAGAAGAAUAAACCAGUUAGCUGGUUCAACUGUUGAAAUCUUUUGGAUGGUCCAAGAGGCCUGGAGUUCAAAUCCCACUCACUGGGUUGUGGUGGGCGGCGUGGGUUGUUUUCCAUUCAUCAAAAUAUUCAUCAAAAUAUUUUUAAAAGUCAUGUAUACACUCACAUUUUGAAUGUUAACAAUAUCACGCGAGUCAACUCCUGCAUUGAGCCCAUCAAGUAGGCCUUGGGUAUAGUCGUAGAAGUAAUCGGGGUCAUCACAAACAGAAAAAGCAUGAACCUGUAUGAAAAAAAAGAACAUACUAAAAUUUAAUUGGCAUAUUGAGAUCAAGUAUGAAUCUAGGCUAAAUACAGUUUACUCUUCUGCAGUUUGGUUUGUUUCUACUUUGCCACUCUGUUGCUUCAUUUAUGACAUAUUGGACCCUGAUAGGACUUAGGCUAAAUUAGAGCUGAUUUUUAUUGAUUGAAUCAAAAGAAAGAACAAUCCUGACCUACAAUUCGAGAGGUAGGUCAAUCUCUCCUAAAACUCCUAAUUAUUCUUAACAUUAGACAAAACUCAACCUAAACCCUAAAUGACUCCUUAAUCUCUUAUUUAUACCUGAGCUAAUUAAUGAAUAAAUAAAAUUACUAAACUGCCCCUCCCCUUAAAAUUACUAAAUUGUCCUUGCCCCUUUAUAUUUGCGCAUAACAUAAGUUUUAUUGGCCUAACAUUACUCCCCUCCCAAAAAGACACCUUGUCCUCAAGGUGAAAUCUAGAAAACUAUGGUCUCUUCUUCCUCGGCUUCUUCCCCGCCUUCCUCCUCAUCACACACAGUCAAGACUUGUAGUGAUUUAUCUUUACAUCGAUGCCCUGGUGAAAUUUUCUCACCGCAUUGCAAACACAACCCCUUCGCCCUCUUAUCCUGAAUCUCUGUCUCCGUGAAGUGUUUGAAAGUCACACCCGGUUGUGCCCCACUAACCUGAUCCCUUUGGAAAUCUCUCGGUAACCCCAUCAUUUGCAUUUUCUGACCUCCCAAUGGUGUGCUCUAGAACUCUCACUGAAACCUUAAAGUCUGGGUUUUCUGUCCUGCCGAUGGUGUGUUGUUUCGAUAUGAAAAAUUGACUGAACUGCUCCUAUUAACCAGUUCUGCUGUGUUCUUAUCCUCAAUCAUCUGUGCCAACUCCAUUGACUCCCCUAACCCUCUCGGCCUUAUUAAGUGUAGCGAGGCUCGGAUUUCUGGCUUCAGUCCUUUCAUAAAAUUCCCUUCCAAUACUGCCUUUGGGUUUCCCCCUAGACGCCUCGAUAGUAACUCAAACUUCUCCCUAUACUCCAUGACUGUUCUCUACUGGGUCAGAGCAAAAAACUGUUCAUGCAAAUCUCCCUCUUGAGUGGCCCGAAACCUCUCCAAUAGCCGGUCCUUAAAUUCACCCCACGACUUCAAUGGUUGUCAUUGUUCUCGCCAUUGAAACCACGCAAGGGCCUUUCCCUCCAAAGAUAAUGCCGCUGCCAUCAGUUUUUCCCUUUUUGAGAGUCCAUUGAAGACGAAAUAGAGCUCUACCCUAUACACUCAUCCAUAGGCAUCAUCGCCUUCGAAAAUAGGCAUUUUCAGUUUCCUUACCCCCCCCAUCAUUUCGCACCAUUGGAGGUCUCCAACCUCUCGAAUCUACUCCAGUUUCUGCAUAUCCCGAAGACCCAGCCCAAAAUUCUCCUUGCCGAGCUCUAUAUUGGGCUGAAAUCCCUUGCCCAGCCACAUUCCGGUCAUAACCGCUCCCUCUCUCGCCAAAAACCCCUCCUCCUGGUCAUCGGCCCCCAAAUCCUACCUGUCCAAACCCAAAACCGACCUGCCCAAGCCCAAAUCCAGCCUCCCUCGGCCCAAAGCAGCCCUACCCAACCUGCCCAGUCCCAAAACGGCCCUACCCAGCCCAAAAUUUGGACUGCGCAGGCCGUGCAUCACCCCCAAACGCCAUCGAGUUGCCAAGCCCAACCAUCCCCGACUCCUACGCGCCCCAUUCUGAUGCCAAAACGCCGAUUCCUAACCUUAAGCCGCCUCCUCCAGUUGCAUAACCCUCAAAUCCACCAACCACCAGCCGUGACCCAGCUUCCUCUGCCUUGCCCAAGACCGGGAAAGGCUCCGCGAGGCCAUGAGUCCCCUGGGCCGACCACCCCGCCUCCAAAUCUGUCGUGACCCAUCACCCCUAGCUGUGCUAGAUUGGUGGUUUUCGGCCCUUCGCCCUCUGCGUCGCCGCCAACCACAGGUUCCGUACCAUCGAAUCCUUCUCCUGGCACACCGUCGUGGUCUGUCGAUGUUGCCAGUGGUGGCUUAAGGUGGAGUUCCGUCAACUUUAGCAACAUGACUUCAAGGGAUGAAAAUUGUUGUUGAACGGUGUUAAAUCGCUCAUCAAUGGUGGACUUGAGCGAUCCAACCUAUGCUUCCAAUUUCUCUUCAAGAGCAUCCACCUUCUUCGCUGCCAUUCUUGCUCUGAUAUCACUUUGAUAGGACUUAGGGCUAAAUUAGGGCUGUAGGUCAAUCUUUCCCAAAACUCCUAAUUAUUCCUAACACUAGACAAAACUCAAUAUAAACCCUAAAUGACUCCUUAAUCUCUUAUUUAUACCUGAGCCCUACUUAACGAAUAAAUAAAAUUAUUAAACUGCCCCUACCCCUAAAAUUACUAAAUUGUCCUUGCCUCUUUAUAUUUGCGCCUAACAUAAAUUUUAUUGGCCUAACAAACCCCUGUAGUUCAUUCGGAUCAAGGUAUAAAACACCAAAAAACCACUUCAUGGAGCUCAUAUAUGACUUGUGGGAUAUUAUUAUUAUUGUUAUUAUUAUUAUUUUCUUUUGUUUUACGCCUGUACUUAAACUACAAUGGAUAUGUGACAAACAAAAUAACAGGGUGGCAAAGAGGAGAAAGGCCAUACCAAAUUGUUCAAGAUGUAUGUAACCCACAGCUUUAUAGAAAUGAAAACAUACUUUUGCUUUCAAUGUUCCAAGCCAUGACCCCAAUGACAAACCAGCAAUUGUUCCUCCACUGUCAAUCAAUCAAAAGAGAUAUCAGAUCCAUUGGCAGUAUGGAACCAAACAGGAUUCCACAUUCAAUUUGUAAACAUUAAAUGUAUACAAAAAAUACCAAAUAUAUAAAUCAGGACCUUGUCAUUCAAUUUCUAGAGAUACAGUGCACAUGGAACUUUCCAAAAUGUAUAUAUGAACAUAUAGUAAACAUAUACUAAGCAACGACUGUACGAAUAAAUAAUGUAAUCAGGACGAACAAGGGCAGAUGUUGCCUGGGUGAUGCCAUGCAAGGGAUAAUUAUAUGAAGAAAGCAUAUUCAUGAAUCAUGGUAGAGACCAUGCAACAGGAAAUUUAUGCAAAUUUUCAAAUUUGGCACUCAUUUUUUUUUUAAUCUAUGAAGUCAACAGAUAAGCAGAGCAGAACCUGCCACAAGCUACAACAAUAUCAUCAAAUUUCACUCCACCAGUCCCAGUCUGAAGUUGCUGCUCAAUCUCCUUAAUUGCUUCAAUAUAACCCCUAAACAGAAGUCAAGAAACUUAUUAUCUCAAAAAGACAACCAUCAUGAAUUCAUAAUAACCUUUCAAUAAGAAAUCCAAAGAGAAUUCUGCAAAAAGAGAACAAAAAACAUUGAAAAUUUUACUACUUGUCCGAGUGCUUAAGGGGAGACAACUAUUUCUAACUUAUCUAUCGUCCCAUUCGAGUUGAAUGCUCAGGUAAGUCCUUGAACGAGGUCAAAUAAAAGCAAAAGCAACUUAAAGGCCAACCUCUGCAAGGAUUAAGACAACCAAAGCCUUAACCAAGAACCUAGCUGUAAAUUCUACAACUAGAAGAUUUGCAAUCCCAUCCGAAAGGGAUUCCACUACUUUGGUAGUCACUAAAGACAUGAUCAAAUAAACUUAAAAAUGCUCUCCAAAUUAUGCAAAACAGAGAAAAUGUCAAGCUCUAACCAACCAACCGAAGAAAAGAAUAAAAAUAAUUAUAGACCCUCAAAAUAGACACCAAAGCAUCUAUGCCAGCGUCUGCUGAAAUGCUACCACUACAAAUUAAACAAAUGGAAGACCAAACCACAGUAGGAUUAACAAUAGUGGAAGAAACAAACAUAUGAUGUUCCAUGUCACAAGAAUUAUUCACCUACUAAAUAAAAUCCUCCUGUUCAAUUUGUUUCCCCAUGUGAAAUCCAUUCAAAAUGGAGAUAGACGUAGCUAAUAUACUAAAGAAAGAUCAAGAAGGAACAAGAUAUUGUUUACAGAAGAGACUUCUUUGGAAAUAUGUACUAGACAGAGAAGCAUAAUGUGACGGGAAUCACUAUAUUUAACAAAAAUAGAACAACAUGAUGGCAAACAUUACAUUUAACAAAAAUAAACUAAUAAUUAUAUUUAACAAAAAUAAACUAUCUCCUCUACUCCCAUUGCAUCCUGUACUGACUAAAUGAAUAAGCUUCAACAUACUGAUUCUCAUCUGGUAAGCCUUAAUUGUUUGAUUUUCUAAACGCAAAAAAAAAAAAAAAAAAAAAAAAAAAAAGGAAAAAGUGGACUUCCCAAAGUAAAGAGCUAUUGUUUCUUCAAUUGUUUGUCAUAAAGCUGAGAUCACUCUUCACCCAACCAAGAACUGCAUUCUAACAUCGGAACUCUUUAUCAUCCCAUCCACAAGUGACAGCCGACCAACAAAAUCUCACUGUCUUCUCUCCAAAAACACACACACAUCUAGACAAUAUUUAGAUAGAAUAACAACUCAGCCAGCACAACCAAAUUGAGAACCAUAGAAUACAUGAAACCAAUUAUUUAACAAUAUAGAAGCCACUGUUAAUGGGUAGAACAAUUAGAGCACCUAAUGUGCUCCUAAAUUGUUAUCAGCUAGUAUGAAUAAAUGAUACAACAGACAUAUAGACUUUCAACAAAUAUAUAUCAACUUACUGAGAACUUGCAAGCAGCAAAGAAUUUAAAUGCAAUAAUAUAAUGCUCAAAAUAAAGAGAGUAUAGAUGAUAGUGAUCAAUCUCACCAUGUCCCUAUUGAGUUUGAUCCACCAACAGGAAUAACAUAUGGUCUUCUCCCUUCCUUUAGCAACUUUUCUUUUAAAAUGUUAGUAAGAGUCUGACAUCAGAAGUAACAAGGCAAUCAAAAUUUACCAAUUAAGUAAUCUCUUGAGCAUACUCAACUCACAUAAUUGGAGAAAUCUCAAUUCAGUCAAUCAAUAAUCCUUUAUUCAACCAAUUGAAAAAAAAAAAAAAAAACAUGAAACCAGUUCAGCCCUCAAAAUCCACAAAAAUGUCAAAGCACUGAAGCAAGAACAUAACAAUGGCAAAAACAUUAUCAAGUUAACAAUUUAUCCAUGUAGUUGGCAUGGCCAACUACAAUUGAAUGUAUUAAAAAAGAAUGCAAAAUGGUUAGCUUUAGCCACUCAUAAUCCAAAGAAGUUCCCAAUUCAUCCAUGUAGCUUAUUUAUGAAAUCAAAGAUUACAAAUGCAAAGUAGACAAAGGCUUCUGCACAUGUAUACAAUUGAAUUUUCAGCUACAUGAAGAAAGGUCAAAGAAAAUAGAAGUUCAGGAAGUUAUCCAAAAAUCCAAAUGAUUAACUCCAACAAAAUCCAAGUUUCUUUAUGGGCCUCCAGCUCAAGGGAGAAUCAGUAUAGCAGUAAGUCAAUCAAGGAAACAUCCAAAUAUGACUCCUGUUCUUGGUGCAUUAUGUGCAGAGAAAAUGAUGAGACAGCUGACCAUCCCUUUCUUCACUGCUCAGAAAUACCAAGUUUAUGGGACAACUUUUGAGGGGAGAUCAAAAUAUUAAGUGCUGUUAUGAGCUCUUGCUCUUGUGUUAUUGGAGAUUGUGUUUGCAUUUAACAGAGGAAAGUGCCCUUCCUUGAAAAAUGUUAAAUAAGGAAAUAUAAGAUCUCAUGCCUACUAGGCAACUUAGAGAAAUAAAAGCGUUUAUUCUUCUUACUUUCUAAGCACUAGAAUUGUCAAAUGCACAUCCAUUGGCCAUAUCAUACUCGAGUUAUAUGAAAUAUCUGCAAUGAACUCUUCAAAUAAUCACAAUUUUCCACAUAAAGGAGUAAUGCUCUAGGAAAUGAUUCAAAAUUCAAAAUUUUUAAAAAUUUGUGAACUUAUGUAUAUGUUGGGUAUAUUAGAUUAUCAAAAUAGGAUAUCAAAUUCAUCAAUGAUUGGGGUUCUAGUUUUUAUAUCUUUCUCUCAUUUUCCUUAGGCAGUAAGGAUAUAUUCUUUGCAAUCUGUUAAAAAGAAAAGAAAAGAAAAGAAAAGAAAAAGCAAUAGACAAACCACACUCCCAAUUUUUGAAUACUCUUCUUUAGAGAUAAGUUCAAUAUGAGCUCCAACUAAACGUUCAACUAGUAGAUUGCCGAUCAAACCAGGAUCUUGGUCCACCAGAACCUGCAACAAUGACAUUACAUCAAUAGACAUUGUAGCAUAAAAAAGGAUGAAAAAAAAAAGCAUGACAUGAAAUUUCUAAAAGAAAGAAAGAAAGAGGCUUAACCUUAGAGGUACGAAGAAUAAGAUAACAAUCAAGAUUGAGAUACUUGGCAGCAACGGCAGCAGCACGACAAUGAUUGCUUUGGAUGCCUCCAAUGGUGAUGAUGCAAUCAGCACCUUGAGCCACUGCAUCUGCCAUCAAAAACUCUAAUUUCCUUACCUUGUUUCCACUCAAUUGCAUGCCGGAAAGGUCAUCACGCUGCAAUAACAGCACGUAGCAAAUUCUUUCAAAACCCCACAGGUUCCAGAAGUCAUCCGAAACUCCACUAAAAUUACUCUAAUAUUAAUCAAAAACUCCGUGAAGUAGUUAAAAGAUUUUAUUAAAAAAAAAAAAAAACCCACCCGCUGGCUUAUACUUUACGGCCAAUCGUUACAUUCCACAACAGUUCUGGAUUAAAAGCAAAAACACCCUAAUGCUUUAUUUAUUUAUUUACAAUAGGAAAUUAAAUCUUCUCCCUCACAUGGGUGAUCCGGGUUUGAACCCAGAAGAGAUAUUACAAACUAAACUAAACUGGCUGGCACAGAAACAACACCACAACUGCAAACAUAAACUAAGAUUGGAAGUGGAAAUUACCUUGAGCCAGACCUCAGUAUUAUGGGGCAAAUUAGGGAGGUUCCAUUUGUGAAUUGGAGUUGGAAACUGAAAGCAAAUUUACUUUGAUUAAUUAAAAAAAAAAAAGAAAAGAAAGAAAAAUUAUAUGAUACACAAAAUAUAGUUGCAAUUGAAACCUACGUGGCCGAGAGAGAAGACGUGAGAAGGGAUGGGGGCGAGAUGAGAAGCCCAAGAAGGAGGAGCGUAUGAGGUUUUGGUGAGGAAUUUGAAACCGAAAGCAUCACUAUCAUUACCGCUCUCUUUUCUUUCCAUUUUGAUUUUAUGCUGCUGAUGAUGAUGAAGCUGAGACUCAGAGACUCUGAUUAGGCGUUGUCUUAAUUUUGGAGAAACAAUUGAACUCAGAAGGUUACCGCUGCAGCUGCUGCACAACAACAUUAUUCCAUUUGCUUUAACCGCUGCUGCUGCUGCAUGACACUACCAAAAUCCAAAACCCAUGUGCCACGUAAUUUCAUUUUACUUCUCGACUUUUUUAUGUCAGGCCCAAUUAUUUGGUUCUUGAACCUAAUGUAACGCCUCUGUAAUUAGCUUAAGAAAAUUGUAAUUUACUUUUUUAUAUAUUACUUAAAUAAUUCUUGCAUGUACUCUAAAUUUGGAUGCAACUGAAUUUUUCUUUUUGUUCCUUUUUUUUAGAAAAUUAUCCACCGUCCACUCAUUUUUUCACAUUUUUUAAAAAAUAUACAAUUUUUUUUUUUACAUCACUCCACCUGAAUUAACAAAUUUUUCAUUGGUCCAUUCUCGUCAUAACAUCAUUAGAACUUUGUUAAUAUCAUAAAAGUAAAAUUGUCAUUUCACAAUGACACAGUGCUGGAAAGGUACAAAAUAAUAUAAUUUCAAGUGGAGUUCAGAAAAAAAUUUAAGAAUUGUGUAUUUUUAAAAAAUACGAAAAAAUAGGUGGUCGGUAGAUAAUUUAUCUUUUACAUUUGAGGGUAAAAAAGUCAUUUACACAAAAUUCCGUUAGUUUUCUUAACGGUCUCCAAAAGAAAGUGGACAAGUGCAAAGAAAUGUAACUUCAGGUGAAUUCCAAAAAAAAAAAAAGAUUUGUGUAUUUUUUAUAAAGCUCAAAAAAAUAGGUGGUCGGUGGAAAUUUUUUUUUUGAAAACAAAAACUCAUUGUGGUAUACUAGCAUUUGAUGACUUGUUAACUGCAAAGGUCCACCAACUUUCACUUUGUAUUAAGUUGACAUACUAAAUACUUAUGUUAGCCAUCGGUUGUAUGGUGUAAAAAAUUAACAGAACAAUUGCAAAAACACAAAGCGGAAGAAAAAUUUAUUUCAAUGACCCUAGCGAAAUAUAAUAAAUAAUUGGGCAAUUAUCUACCGACUACCUAUUUUUUCGGCUUUUUAAAAAAAUACACAAUUUUUUUUGGGCUGAAUUCCACCUCAAGUUACAUUUCUUUGCAUUUGUCCACUUCUGUUUGGAGACUGUUAUAACAUUACUGAUAUCAUAGGGGCAAAUUGGUCAGUUCACCAGUGCAGCCCCAAAAACGACGUCGUUUUGCUACUUUGAUUAUAGCAAAAGGAAAAAAAAAAGGCAAAGUGGUCAAGAGUAGAGCAAACAAUGAGAAUAGCCAUUGUUUGUUCACACACUGGUGACCCACCACCAUGCAUUAGAAUAACCAUUGUUUGUUCAAGAAAAGGCAGCAGCAAACAAUUUCUUUCAUGUUUACAUCAUCUAACACUAGUUCUGCAGAGAUGUAUAAAGAAGAAUUUGGUCUUAAAUUGGGAGAAGUGUCAUUUUAUGGUAAAAUAAGGUAUUGUUCUUGGUCACAUCAUUUCAAGCAAAGGUAUUGAGGUUGAUAAAGUCAAGAUGGAUCUCAUUUCCAAUCUUCCUCCACCUAAAAAAACAAAUUCAUUUUUUCUUUUUAAAGGAUUCAAGCCAACGGUAGUCCAGCCACCACAGGUGUUUGGGGAACGGUCGUGCCAUCAAGCAAGCCAUGACUGAUCAAGUUGAAACAGCGACCAUCUAGAAGCCAAGCACAAAAAAAGGACAGUGGCCGUCUAUUGGCUAAGAUGGUUGGGCCACCAAGCAAGUCGCAGGGCUAUGGCUGCCGCUUAAGGAAAAGAAAGAAAAGAGGAAAAAAAAAUUAAGGUUCGCGUUUUUGGUUUGUUUGAUUUGGGGAUGGUUUGGAUCCAGUUUGGUUCAACCUCGAACCAGUUCAACCCUGAACCGGUCAAUGGUUAAUCGGUCAAUUGUCAACUUUGUGACUGUUGACCAAACUUUGAUCCGAAUUGUUUUUUUGGUAAUUUUUGGUGCAAUUUUAAAUGCAAUGUCGGUUGAACCCUAACAUGAAAGAAAUUGUUAGAACUGAAGUCCUUAAACUAUUAGAUGCAGGUAUCAUUUACCCUAUUUCUGAUAGUUCAUGGGUCAAUCAUGUGCAAAUUGUCCCCAAAAAGUCAGGAGUCUUAGUAGUUACCAAUGUUGAUAAUGAAUUGAUACCUACUAGAGUGACUAUAGGGUGACGUGUAUGCAUUGAUUAUAGAAAGUUGAAUUCUAUCACACGUAAAUACUAUUUUCUUUCACCAUUUAUCGAUCAAAUGCUUGUUAAAUUAGUAGGUCAUGAAUUUUAUUGCUUUCUAGAUGGCUACUUAGGAUAUAAUUAGAUUCCCAUAGCACCAAACUAUCAAGAGAAGACCACUUUCACUUGCCUUUUUGGCACUUUUGCGUAUAGAAAAAUGCCAUUUAGAUUAUGUAAUGCACUUGCUACAUUUCAACGAUGCAUGUUAAGCAUUUUUUCUGAUAUGGUUGAACGAUUCCUUGAAGUCUUUAUGGAUAAUUUUUCUGUCUUUGGUGAUUCAUUCGAUCAAUGUUUACAUCAUCUAACACUAGUUCUACAGAGAUGUAUAGAGAAGAAUUUGGUCUUAAAUUGGGAGAAGUGUCAUUUUAUGGUAAAACAAGGUAUUGUUCUUGGUCGCAUCAUUUCAAGUAAAGGUAUUGAGGUUGAUAAAGCCAAGAUGGAUCUCAUUUCCAAUCUUGCUCCACCUAAAACAAUCAGAGAAGUAAGAUUUUUUCUUAGGUAUGCUGGUUUUUAUAGACGUUUUAUUAAAGACUUUAGUAAAAUUUCUAGACCCUUAUGCAAUCUACUUGCUAAAGAUGUACCUUUUGUCUUUAAUGAUUCAUGUCUUGUAGCAUUUGAAAAACUAAAACAAUUGUUGACAUCAUCAUCCAUCAUUCAGCCCCCAAACUGGAACUUACUAUUUGAGCUCAUGUGUGAUGCAUUUGAUUAUGCAGUAAGAGCAGUAUUAUGAUAAAGAGUUAAUUGAAUUCUCCAUGUCAUUUACUAUGCUAGUAUGAUAUUGAAUGAUGCACAAUUGAACUAUUUAACAACUAAAAAAGAAAUGCUAGCAGUAGUGUUUGCAUUAGAGAAAUUUCAAUCUUAUCUUAUUGGUUGUAAAAUAAUUGUGUUCAUAGAUCAUAUUGCUAUUAAAUAUCUUCUCACAAAGAAAGAUGCAAAAGCUAUACUAAUUCGUUGGGUGUUACUUUUGCAAGAAUUUGACGUUGAAUUCAAAGAUAAGAAAGACAAAGAAAAUAUUGUGGCAGACCAUCUCUCUCGUCUUAAUUUUGACACAAUUACAGAACCAUUACCAUUGAAUGAAUCAUUUCUACAUGAACAAUUGAUGAGUGUGAAAGUAUUACCGUGGUAUGCUGAUAUCGUUAACUAUCUUAUUAUAGGUCAACUUCUAGAGCAUUAGACCAAGUAGGACAAAGCCAAUUUUUUUUGUGGAAACAAAGAAUUUCUUUUGGGAUGACCCUUAUAUGUUCAAGUAUUGUGCAGAUCAAAUUGUCAGACGAUGUGUUCUAGAAAGUGAAUUUUAAAACAUCAUUUCAUUCUGCCAUGAACAAGCUUGUGGAGGCCAUUUCAGCGCUAAGAAAACAAAUACUAAAAUUUUACAAUGUGGUUUUUAUCGGCUAAUUGUAUUUUGAUAUGCUUACACUUUCUGCUCUUCAUGUAAUAGGUGUCAACGAAUGUGGAGCGUUACAUAAAAAAAUAUGAUGCCACUAAACCCAAUUUUAGUGGUUUAUCUUUUUGAUGUAUGGGUAUCGACUUCAUGGGACAUUUUCCCCCUUCAUUUGGCCAUCAAUACAUAUUGGUUGCUAUUGACUACGUAUCGAAAUAGAUAGAAGCAAUUUCAUGUAGAACUAAUGAUCAGAAUGUGGUGAUAAGAUUUUUGAAAAGCAAUAUUGUUUCACGCUUUUGAUUCCCUCAAGCAAUAAUCAAUGAUGGUGGUGCCAACUUUUGUAACAAAUUAUUCAAAGUUCUUUUCACAAAGUAUUCCAUCACUCACAAAGUGGUGACCUAUAUCAUCCGCAAACCAGUGACCAAGUUGAGAUCACCAAUCGAGAAAUAAAGCACAUAUUAGAAAAGACGGUGAGACUCGACAUAAAAGAUUGGUCAUUAAGACUCGAUGAUGCAUUAUGGGCAUAUAGAACGACUUUCAAGACCCCGAUUGGGAUGUCACCCUACAGACUAGUACAUGGAAAAGCUUGCCACCUACUUGUGGAACUCAAGCAUCGUGCGUACUGGGCCAUCAAGAAAUUCAACUUUGACAUGCAGCAAGCUAGCUCAGAAAGAAGAUUACAACUGGCAGAACUUGAAGAAAUUCGCAAUGAUGCAUAAAAAAAUGCCAAGAUUUACAAGCAGUGAAUGAAAGUCUUUCAUGACAAGCAAAUUAUGAGAAAAUUUUUCACCCUAGGUCAAAAAGUAUUUUUAUUCAACUCUCGCUUGCACCUAUUCCUAGAUAAGUUACGCUUUUGAUAGUUUGGCCCCUUUAUUGUUCACACUAUUUUUCCACAUAGAACAAUUAAAAUUAAGGAUCCAAAGAAUGGUGUCACUUUUAAAGUUAAUGGUCAAAGAUUAAAGCCAUAUCUAGAGUACCAACCACAUGGAGAGGACAUCGAAAUAAAUUCGAGUGACCAACCAAAUUUGAACUGAGAUUUUUUUUCUUUCUUUCUUUUCGGUGGUUUAAUUUUUCUUUUCUUUCUCUUUACUAUUCUUUUGCUGAUUGAAAUUAUUUUUGCAUAAAUGUGUUUAUUUAACCAUUAAGUUUUCUUUUAUCACUAUUAAUCAUGAGUGCCUCAAUUAGGUAGAUCCUCUUGGACUUUAUUAGACGACUUUAACGUGUAAAAUCUCAUCUCAGAGGCCAGAUAUGAUUUUGUAAAACACAUCAUAUUUGAGAUCUACAACCACCAGAGUUAGUAUCCCAUGUUGAGGCUUUAGAGAGACAACUCAGAGAAACUAAGGGAGGUAUCUAUGACGUCCAAUUGGAGUUGAGGCAAAUUCAAUAAGAGAACGAUUGUGAAAUUAGUUUUCUUUGUAUGCUUUAGUUUGUUACCCUGGUUAAGUGGUAGAUAACGGUACUCUGUGACAAUCAAAGCCGGUUACUUUAGUUUCACAUAAUAACUGAUAUUCUAAGGCGAAAGUAUGGACAAAAACGCGAUUUUAGCUAAACUUCACAAUCGAUAUCCUUCACUUCCUUAGAAUGCCCUCCUUACAAUUUAUAAAGCUUGGUUCGAACACUUGCGAUUGCUUAUGAGGAAUAACAUCCCUGCUGACAUCCGUUGGUUAAUCGAGACCAAAGUACGAUUGGUAGGUGAGUUGCCUCCCAAAUUUAUUGCAUACAUGCUUGGUUGUGAUAAAAGAAAUUACUCAAGAAAACGAAGAGCUUGAAAACUUUCUGUUGCUUGUCAUAAGUGUGCCAUAAUGAGAUGCGAUAAAAAUCCAUGUUCUUUAGAAAUUGUGUCUGAUAAUAGAGAAGACAAGAUUCAAUUCAUUAGGGAUGACUUGAAUAAGGAGUCAUUGGAUGAUAUCAUUUUAUCUCUUGAAACGCAUCCCAGUGGAUACGUAUAAAGAGCAAUUAUCCAGUUAUGACCAUUAUUCCAAAAAGAUUGUGCACGAUUUAGUCUCAGGAAUCUGACUAUAAACGACCUUGUUUGUCAGUUUAUAAGAAAACUGGAUGGGAAGCUUAUCCUCGACCUAUAGAGGGUGUUUAAGCCGUUUCUGGACGUAAAACCAGAGGAAGAUGUGAGCCACAAUCACAACUACAUGUAAAUAUCCUUUUAUUUCACUAUUGUUUUAUCAUUUGCAUUCUUGUCUUUAAUAAUUUUAUUUUAUCAUUGUUUCCUUUUUCUUUUUACUAUUUCCUUUUUUAUUUUCGAGCCACGUGAUUUACACGUUAAUUAACAUUAACAUGCUACCUCAUACACAACUGUGAACCAUUGUCACCAAGAUCCUUAAAUAUGAUUUUUUUAAGCACUCACAAAUUAUAUUUGAGAAGUAUCCCAAUGACAGCUUUUCCCAAUUAACAAUUCAAAAAUAUUUGUGUGCUCUAGGAGUUUAACUAUGGCAAAUAUAAAGAGUUCGUCGAGGCAGCCAUAGAUCUUGGUCGAAGAAUAGCAGUAAGAAAAUUACACUUGGUAUAUGGAGGCGGUGACCGAGGGUUAUCAAAACUGGUCUUAGAAGCUGCUUAUAUCAGAGGGAGCCAAGUGUUAGGCAUCAUCCCAAGAGUCCUAAAACCUUUGGGUUGUUUGUCUGACUCACUAACUGGAGAAGAGUUAGUGGUCUCAGGUACGCAAGAGAGAAUAACUGAAAUGCUAAAUCAGGCUGAUGCUUUUAUUUUCCUACCAGGAGAUCUUGCAACUCUAUAGGCACUCAUCACAUUAGCAUAUUGGGCCCAUCUGAACAUUCACCAGAAGCCCAUCAAUUUGUUAAAUGUCAAUAAUUUUUAUGAUGGCUUUAUCGCAUUUUUUAACCAUGCAAUAAAAAACUAUUUCAUUCAUUCCACAGCGAAAAAAGUUUUUUUUUAUGCUCAUACUGCUAAUGAGCUACUUGAUUUGUUACAAACUUAUAGACCAGAGCCAGAUCUCAGGUCCUUUGUGUUGGAGUGUCCAAAUAAUGAUGGUAAUAGUAGCCACAGUAAGAAGUGCAAAUUAGAUUUAACUCUCCGCUUGUAAAUAUUUUCUUAUGUGUGUGCAACACCUAGGUGCUUCUAAACUCUACUUCUUUCCUUUAAAAUAUUGAGGACAAUGUUUCGUUCUGGUUGGGGGAAGGGAAUAGUUGACAAUUGUGGAAUGUCUCAAUCUUGGUGAAGUUUUUUUUUUUUUUCGUUGUAGAGACUAACCAUGGCUAACUUUUUGAGUCGAAAAUGACUGAAUGUGGAUUGUAGUGACUCUAGAAACGCAUGUUCUUAGUUAAAAAAAAUUAACAUUUUUUUAAAAAAAAUUUUACUUUCCGGACAUUUUCUUGUUCUUUGUUAUCUUAUUAUUAAGCUUCGACAGUCAUUUUAAGUGUGAUCUUUCUAAUUUAUUAUUUUACCAAUUAGUUUUUCUACAUCAUUUUUACCUUUCUGCAUGCAUAUUUUUCAUGUUUAAAAUAGGUUUGGGGGUAGAAUGUCAUUUAAAAAAAUUUGUGAUCUUUUAACAUUGGAUGACAUGAUAACUUUCAAAAUUUAGUAUUUGUAUUAUUUUUGGUCUUGAGUGAUGUUACACCAUGUUUGCUACUCUACAUAUUGAUGUCGGAAACAAAUAUAAGUUGUUUGAAGGAAUGCACAUGUUAUAAUAAUUCCAAAUGCGUUUUUGAGCCUGUCAUUUUUCUUGGAGAGUAACACUUUUUGUCCAUUCUUCAGACAACUUAGCAAUUUAUUAUUUUAUACAUGAUCUCUAGAUUUCUUUUUAGUCAACCCUCUAAAAAAUUUUAUAAAAUAAAAAAAUUUGUGUUGCUACAUCUGAAGGUCUCUCUAACUCGUAAAUAUAGAAGAUUAUUUAGAGCCUUGGAAAAUGCUAUCUUUGACUCGUUUGAGCUUUUUUAGCCAUUCCUUUUGUGAAAUAUCCAUAGUUAAAUCCUUUUGAGCCUUAUAUAUAUAAUAUUUUUUUUCUUUGUCAACUUAUCAUCUUGACCCACUCUGAUUUGGAGUAUUACCCGAUGUCUUACAAGUUCCAUCACUUAUUCAUGUUUGAGAAAAAUGUAAAUAAUUAUUUUGUUCAGUAAAGUUGUGCCAUACAAAAAAAAAAAUUAGUCCAAAAAAAGAAAAAAAGAGAAAAGAAAAAAGGAUAUAAUAAUAAUAAAUAAGCGAAAUGCACCUUGUAAUUUCCAAAAGAUCUCUAUUUUGUCUCGAACAUAUAUUUUGUUUUCCCUAUUUCCCCUCUUUUGUUAGCCAUGUCCCUAGCAUAUAUUUUGUUUUCCCUAUUUCCCCUUCUUUGUUUCGUCCUAAUAAAAGUUCUUCUUGAUUUUAGGGAUCUAUAGUCUUAAGUAGAAGUUAGUUAUAUGGGAUAAAAAGAUGUAGUGAUGCUUAAAAAUAAAUAAAUAAAUAAAUACAUUGGUUUGACUAGCAUUUCGUUUGACUUAAGAUCGUGUUAUUUCUAAGCUGUGGGCAUAUUCCUUUGAUCUUGGUGAGAGUGUGUGAUAUUACUUGUUUAUCAUUUUCUCUCAAUUUACCAUUCAUUGGAGUAAAUAUUUUUAUUGGAUUUAAUUUCUUUGUGAGAGUGUCACUACUACCGGUGAGAUUUUGGGGUUUGACAUGUCAUUCUUGAAAGUGCCUUGAUUACUAUAACUGUGACAAAGUCUGUUGGACUGAUGCAUGUGGAUGGUUGAUGUGGGGGUAAUGUUUCUUUAGACUGGAGAUAAUGCCUAUAAUUUUAUUUGAUCACUAUCAUUAGUCUGAUUGAAUAAACACAACUGUUUAAAAAAAAAAAGAUUUUGGGUUUGAAUUUUCUUUUCGCUUAAUUUGCUAGGGACUAGCAACAAGCUAGUUGGGGGGUGUUUUGAGUGCUAGAAAUUGUAUAUUUAUAAAAGAGAAAAUCGUCAUUUUACACUCUAAGUCUCAUUAACAUCCAUACUUUUAUGUAUUUAAGUCCCUUGUGAUUUAAUUAUAUAUGUUUUAUUAUAAUUAAGUAUUUUAUGUAUUUUAGGGGAUAUCAUGAUCAUUUCACAAUGAACGAGAGAUCAGAUAGCAAAACAGACGACACUUUUGAACUCAGAACAGUCGAAAACCUUAGGAGAAGCAUAAAAGGAUAAACGACAUUGUUCACAUGUACGGUAUUGUUCACGGUACUGUUCAUAUAUACGGUACGAUGACGUGACAUUGACCGAUGAUGUGGCAUUGAUCGAUGACGUUGUAGCAUUUGAUUGGACUAAUGAGGUGGCAUUGACUGAUGAUUUGGCAUUGACCGAUGAUGUGUCACGAUCUAAUUGAACCAAAAUGUUUAUGUGGAGCUGACCGGUGAUGUGGCAGCAUGUUAGUAGAUCGAAAAACGUGCGUACGGUAUGUGUAUAUACACGGAAUGACAACCCUGAUGAUGUGUUCUAUCCAAUCAAAACUUGCCACAUAGCGCAAUCUUGAGCGUCCAAAUUGUUUUAAUCCGAUAGCUAUGAUUUACUCAUUAUAUCUAUAAAUAGGGUUAUUUCCCCUAAUUUAAGACCUCUGAAUUCAUUUUUGAGCUUCAUUUUUUGUAAUUCCUUCUUCAUCUUGUAUUUUUUUUUACGUAUUUUAAUAAAUUUCCAUUUUACCCAUAGUUCAAUUAUGAGUAACUAAUUUUCUUUCAAGCUUGGUUUGAAGGUGAAGUCUCAACAUGUUCCAUGGGUCUAAUUUGAUAAAUUUACUUUCUCUUCCCCUCUAAUUUUUGUGGAUGUUUUGACUUUUUGUCGACAGAUAAUAAUAAUCUUGCCUAGAUAUUAUACUUGGUAACCGUCUCCCUAGUGCAAGGUUAUUACUAUUUGACAUGAUAAGCCCUUAACACCAUAUUGAUUAGAGUGUGGUUCAUGAGAAGUGGAAACCCUCCUUAUGAUUUAAUUGACACUAAUAAGGAAUAUUAAGCCCAUGGUGCAUGUUGAUUGCGGAUCCAAAGAUCCAAGCGCUUCAUUUCAAUAGAUUUCGCUUUAAUUUAUUCCCGCCAUUCUAAUUUAAAUUUUAGGAUAGUCCAAAUCAUUUUCACCACAAAUCCAACUACCAACUUAGAAAAUUAACUUUACACGCAAUUAAAAUCUACUUCAUCGUGGGAUCGACACUCAUCAUUGUUAAUCUAUUUUACAAUAGAUUCGUGCACUUGCGAGUUCAAUAAAAUUUGUACAACAGAGUGCAUCUAAGCUAUUUAGUGGACAAUCUUGCCACAUUGUCGACAGAAGGAUUAUUAUUGUCUGGCACUGCAUGUUCUUGACACCACACUUAGUGAAAGAUCAUUACCCUUUGGCACACUGAGUGAAUUGUUGAGUGUGAAUUCAGAGACUCAAGCGUUUCAUUUGCAUUGUUUUCAUCUUUAAUUCAUUCCGACCAUUUUAUUUUAAAUCUUAAGAUAAAAAAAAAUUCACUUCCAACCAACUCACAUGUACACUAAUUAAGUUAACCUCCUUGUGGGAUCGACACUCAUCAUCAUAAAAUCUAUUUUACAAUAGAUUCAUGUGCUUGCGAGUACAAUAAAAUUUACACAAUAAGGUUCAUAGCACACUGGUCGUAUGGGUGUUAUGUCAUUAAAGGAUAUUCAAUUUAGUAAGAAUUUCUUAUUUUAGAUGCUCCUAUGUUAUAUAUAUUUUUAGUUAUUUAAGUUUAUAGAUAUAUAAGGUUAUUUUCUACAGAAAUAAAGUUUUGGCUUAUUCACACUCUGAUUUUUAGUAUCGUUAAUUUCCCUUAGGUUUGAGGUGGACCAGUUAAAAAUAGGCAUGUUAAGAUCACAUUGCAUGAAAUUUUCAUGUUACACAUCCACGUAAUGAUCCAUGUCAUUUAGUUGUAUUGGCAUAGCGACCAAAGAUGGGUAGAGUUACAAUAGUUGUAACAAAGGCCACUUUAAUCCUAUGUUGGUAUGAUUGAUGGACCGGAUUGGUUAUAAAUACAUUUCGAUAAUGACGGUAAGGGUGAGCUUAUACGGUUAUUUUUGCAAAGUAUAAUUAUAAGGCUACGCAUAUAGCAUAAGUGGGAUAUUGUUGGAUAUUUUAAUCUAACAUUAUUAGAUCAUUGAUGUAACGUUAGGCUUAUAUGUGAAGAAUUAUGUGUUGCGGACUAUCAUACGAGGUUAAAUCCAAUUAAAAAUUAUCUAUUAAAGUUUUCGACAAAAUGUGGUUUAAUGUAUAUAAUAGGGUGUAGGCCUUUAAUGUGUAAAGACUUAAGGGUAAUUUCUAUUUAUAUAAUGGGUUAAAAUCGGAAUACCUAAAGACAAUAAGAAAAGUUGUCUAUAUAAGUGGUCAUGGUCUCCUGGCUACACCUGACAUCCCAUCAUCAGAAAGAGAGCACAGAGAAAUUUAAAGAAUUCUCUAGGAGAACAUGCUGAUCUGGAAGGUCAACCACACAUCCCUAGACAGCAAUUGUGCAUUAUGGAUUUAGGUAUGCUUCUGCAUAUUUUGUUAUUAAUUUUUGGUAGUACAACAAAAAUGUUUCUGGAUUCUAUGUGAUGGUUUCACUAAAGAAAUUUCUUGUUUUAACACCUAUUUCACCUAAAUAUUUAUAGCUAAUUAAUUUGCUUAAAGCAAACAACAUGGCAGUAAUCAGUAAAUGAGCAUACUAAUUCCUAAAACAAAACAAAUACGCAAAUGCUUUGAUGUCCAACAAUUAUAAGAUCCUCAAGUUAGUAAUCAACAAUUAUAAGAUCCUUAAGUUAGUAAUCAACAAUUAUAAGAUCCUCAAGUUAGUAAUCUAAGUUAAAACACACAAAAAAAAAAGCUGUUGGAAAUAUGAAAUUUUAUUACCUGACUCCAAGUAUUAAUGCUGCUUCACACUUAGACAUGAUCGUACUAAACACACCAUAACAAAAUCUUCCAACUAUAGGGUAAGUUUUGAAUGGUUGCCAUGAAACUAGUAAGUAUGUUCCAGUUGUAGCAGUAGCUGUGGCAAUAGCCGCUAAGACAGAUUCCUGACAAACAAAUACACUAAAAUGAUACUAAAAAUGCAAUAUAUUUGACAAUACAGUCGUGCAAACAUUUCCACUAGCCUUCUGUAAAAAAUUAACUGAACAAUUGCAAAAACACAAAAAAUAAGCAAAAUUAAUUUCAAUGACCCUAACCAAAUAUAAUAAAUAAUUCCCUUGCAAGCAAUUAUAUGGUGGACAAAAUAUUCGGUCCGACCUGAUCCAGUUCGAAAUUAUAUUAUAAUUAGAUUCGAUUGUGGGAUCGGAUCAGCAAAUAUAUAGGAAUCUAAUUUGAGUUAGGGUUAAAGUUUGAAUUGACUUGAGAAGACUUGUUUUCCAAUCCAAAAUCUGAUCAGGUACAUCAGAAUCCAAUUUGCCUACCCUUGAUGCUAUUUGAUGUUUGCUAGGUCAGUGAGAAACCAAAAGUAGGUUUACUAGUUAACUAACACUUAGUUUCAAUGACCACAGUCAAAUCAGUAACAUGAAUUUGAGUUGAUGUAAUAAGAAUGAUUGGCAAGUAUUCAACAUGCUUCUUCUUCUUUGCAGUUCUUGUGCAUUUAUAUAUGAAUUGGGGAAGCAUCGUUGGUUUGAGCUUCAAGGAAAAUCCAAAAAACCGACUAUGUAAAGGAAAUUUGCACAUCCGUCCUGGCUUUUUUUUAAUAAAAAAAUGAAAUUGUAAAAAUAUGUUUAGGAAAUUAUAAAUUUGCUACACAACUUUUAUUGAAAGUUCAAGUUGAUGCGGAGAAAUUCUGACAAUAGAUCUAAUCCACCCAGUUUUAGUUUUUUUUUUAAAUAAUCACCAUGGAGAUAAAUAAUUACGAAAUCUAUAGUAAAAAACUAUUGCCUUUGCAACCAUGUAACUAGUUUAAUAUGUAAAAUGAUGAUCUUUUCACUUAAAUGUAAAAAAUUACAACAACAAUUAUUAAAAUUGACCUAACAAAGACCCCAUGUGAAAAUUAUAUUAUUAAAUUUUCGUAUAAUUUUACUUAUUAUAUAAAUUAAAUUUUCAAAUAUAUCACAAUUAAUUAGUUUUAAAUUAAUUACUGUUAAAUUUGAUAUUUAAUAAAAAAUGACACGAGUCACUCCUUAAUUGGUGGCCAUAUUUUUAAUAUUUUUAUUAUUAAAACUUUUGAAAAAAAAUGAUAUUAAUUUUAUAUUCCUUUAACAUUCAUAUUAAUUUUAUGUUCCUUAUCUUGUGACAGGUCCCAUAUUUCAUUAUAGUAUAGGAGCCCUCAUUAAAAAGUUUCUAUGUACAUAUAGAGUAACUUUAUAAUAAGAAAACCUCUUACUUUAAAUCAGGAAUAAACUAAAAGAAAAAAUGUCUUUUAACUUAUUUCUUACUUUAUUAAAGUAAAUGAUUCUUUUAUUGUAAAAUUACUAUAUAUAUAAAUAUACACACUAUUUUCUCUAAUUCUAUAUAUAUAAAUAUACACACUAUUUUCUCUGAUUCUAAAAAAAUAAAUUUUUUAAAUUUUUUUUCACUAGUUUACCAAGAAGUUAUGGCAAUUUGAUGUAAUGGAGUGCCCAACUCUCAAGCAAAUGGUGCUGGUAGUCUCACCAGCUAUGAGUGCUAACACUUUAGAUCUAGUUUAUUUUUAUUUUUUUAAGGGAGCUCGUCUAUGAAGAUAAGAAAAGCUCGUUUUUAUUUUUUAUUUUUUAUUUUUUUACAGUCGCAUAUAUCAAAUGACAAACAUAUUUAAACAAUGGGUCCAAGAUAUUUCAAGGAUACGAUACUCUAUAACUGUUGUUAAAUUUUACUAAUUUUUGCUGACUUUCUAAACAUUUGGUGAUGUCAAGAUUGUAGAAUACAAUGCCUUAUGUCAUUAUAGUCACAAUUUUCAAUAUUACAAAAUUUGACUUUAAAGAACACUCAUAUUAGGAUAGUCAAUGAUUGCAGCUAAUGAUUGUGUUACCUUUAAUAAUAAAUAGAAAUUAUACUAAAAUUUAAUAUAAAUAAUAAUACUAUAGUUUGUGUAAUACAAUCUUAUCCAUUUAGUUUCAAUGAAAGAAAUAGAAAAAAUUAAAAUUCAAUUUGAAGAAAUGAUGAGAACCAUCAAGGAGAUACAAUUAAAGGUUUAAGUGAGCCUUUGCACAUUUUAUAGAUAAAUGAUUAUAAGAGCUAGAGCUAAAAAUAUGCAAACUACCUUAAAUAGAUUAAUAGAAGUUAUGAGCUGAAAUCGCAAUUCAAAGUUCAAGGCAAAAGAAUUGGGUUUAAACAGAACAUAAAAUAUCGUGAAUAUUAUUCAAGCUAUAGGACAGCCAAAUACAGAGUUUGGCCAAAUGCUUGACAAGAGUUAAAGUUAGGCCAAUUGUAGCUCAAGUCAAUACAGAAAAAGGUCAAAAUUAAAUUGACACCGCUUGAGUUGAAAUUAAUUCUCAAACAGUAUACCAUUAGAAAGAUAAUUGAGUAAGCUUUUAAGUACAUUUGAUGGUGCUGGAUUUAGAGUUUUUUACAAGAAGUUAUGACAAAUUUAUUGCAAUCUUUCAAUUUUCGAGACAAUUUCAACCUUAUUUAUGGUUUCUUUUGUACUGUUUAAGUUUAUCAAUGUUUUAUUUAGGUCUAAUUUUAAUGUUGUUCUUUAGUCAAUUCAUUUGAAGGAUACUUUUGAGUAAGCAUAUGCUUAGAGAAUGGUCAAAGAAUUCUAUUCGAUUGAUUUAGGAUUUAUAUUAGCUUAUAUGUAUUCGAUUUGGAUUUUAAGAUUUAGAAGAUUAUUAUUAUUUGAAAUUAAAGAUAAUUAUUCUUUUAGUUCUUUUGAGAACUAAUGAACUUAUUAAGAAAUUUUAUUUUUAUGACAUUCGCUAUCACUCAUUUUUACAUUUAUAUUUUAUGUGUUGCAUCAAUAUCAUUCUUUAUAUGACUGGUUUAUAUUUUUUAAAACUUUGGUUCAAGAUAUAUCUUUAACUGAAAAAUUUGUUUUCAAAAUUUUUCUGCGCAUUUGAAACUUCAAAGCUUGUGUAUGAAAGUAUCACUAUCAUAAAAAAAUCAACCUAGAUUAUACAGUAUAUAAAAGAGUUUUUUUUUCUUGUUUUAAAAGGAGAACUUUAUGUCAGGCUACAAUUUUCUCCUGAAAAAGAUAAAGAAACAUAAUUUUCAAAGCCAAGAGUCUUUGAACGAGAAGAAUUUAAUAAUAUAGCUUCUUAUGCUAGGGAAUAGAUACCAAUUUAUAGAGUCAAUAUUUUAGGCCUAGUAAACCUAAAAAAAGAAUACAAACUUCAGCAGAAUAUAGAGAAAGGCCAA
rnacentral:lncRNA from 1 species